UUAUAAAAUAUGUGAUAUUAAUAUUUUUCUUAAACUUUGAAAGUGAUACUAUACUUGAGUGUACACACAUAUAUACAACGCAUGCUUCUAGUAAAUAUUUAAAAAUUUAAUUUUAAUAUAUUGUGAAUAUAAAAAGUUUAUAUUAAUUUGUUGCGUAAUUUAAUAAUAAGUUAUAUAUUAUUGAAUAAAUUUAAAAUCUUUCAAAACUAAUAUAUUUAAAUUUCUUAAAGGGAUAUUAAUGUAAUAUUGAAAAAUUCAUAAAAAAAUAUUAUGAUAAUAAUAUGUUAAAAGUAGAGUCAAAGCUUAGUACUUUGAAUACGUUCAAACCCAACUCAAAAGUGAGCAUUAGUGGUCACUAAUUUUGAGUUCGGUUGUUUUGUUUUUAUUUGUUACUAAUAUUUUUCUAAAAUAAACAUAAUAACUCUUUAAGACAUGACUAUACCACUUUUUUAUCCAAGAGAAGAAAGCAUACGCGUAGUCUUACCUGGUGAAUGAGCAUGAGGAUAACGGCGGCGUCACGGAAGCCAUUCUUGGGGAGGAGAGAGAAUGCGUUGGAGUGGUUAAGAAGCAUAUCACCGAAAGCCCAAUAAACGGCGACAGCUGACGGAAUCGUUAGCGUGAAAACGUACAAAGUGGCCAGCAAGUAGAUGUACUUGAACUUUUGGGGCUUCCACAUGGCAUGCAUAAUCUCUCUGCAACAUUUGUCACCAUUAUCACCUUAUGCACAAAAGAUAAUAAUAAUAAUAAUAAUAAUAAUAAUAAUAAUAAUAAUAAUAAUAAUAAUAAUAAUAAUAAUAAUAAUAAUAAUAAUCUACAUUGAAAUUUCCAAAAUUAAAGACAAUUUUAAUAAUAGUAAUAUAUUCAAAUAAUGUUAUUAUUAGUUUUAAAAAGUAUUAAAUAAAAACUAAAUCAAUAAAUAUCCCAUACUAUAAUUCAUCUGUUUAAUAGUAAUUUAAAAGCUACUAUUAAAAGAUGGUAUUGAAAAUUUUUAUUUUUUUAGAGUGCAUUGAGAUAGAGAAUUUUAACUGAGGAAAGUAAUUUAUCAGAGAAUCUGUAAUCUAAAAUUCAUUGUUUGGAUGUUUUUUUUGAAGAAUUUAAAAUUUUGGAAUUUUAAAACAAAAUUUUAAACAACUAAAAAUCUGGAAUUUCAAUUUCCUUUUAAAAAGUGAAAAAUUGAAAUUCUCUUCUUACCGUCUUUUUCAGGAAACAUUGUCUGAGCUAGUGGUGCAACAUCAAUCGGGUGUGAGCGUAGAACAACACGUAUAACUAACAAACCAAUCUUAUCUUCUCUUUUUUUUCAUUUAUUUUUUUUCACCCUCAUAAAUUUAAUUUUUUUUAUACCAACACAAAAUUCUAAAAAUAAAAGAAUUUUAAUUUAAGUAUUUAAAAUUCUUAAAAUUUAAAAUUCCUUAAAAUUUUAAAUUCCCUCAUCCCAAAGAAUUUAAAAUUCCUUAAAAUUUUAAAUUCCCUCAUCCCAACACACUCGACAUAUGAAAAUUUAAAACGUUCGUGGAAUUAAACUUUGUGUAGGUUGGGGAUAAAAGAUACAGAACAAAUAGGAACUGACCCCCCAAUAAAACGGUAAUUUUUCAUUAUUAUUCCAAGUUUUAAUUAAUUUAGAAAGAAGGUACAAUCAGAAAUAGAAAUAAUGGGGCCAUUCAAUUGUGGAAUUUUUCCUAGAGAUAAGGGGCUUGUAACACUUUUGAAGCCAAAAAAAGCAACAUAAGAGAAAGCAUUUUUGUGCAUGAUUUUGUUUUUGCCCCCAAAGAUCUAGAAGACCGAGAUAACCGGCAAAAGCUGCAAAGAGAAGCAGUGUGGAAAAACAGAAAAAAACGAGAGAAAGAAGACGGAGGAAUAGAUCACGAUGCUGCUGAGGAAAAGGUGAACUUACACAGUCACAGCAUGUCCUCCAAACGUGUAGAGGAUGUUAGUGGCUCCAGUGAAGUAUAACACUAGCUUUGUUGGACCCGUGUGCGUGACAUUUUCCACCUACAAACAUGAUUUGCAAGAUGUUGAAUAAUGAAUAUCACAUAGAAAUUGACCAUUUGUUUGUUGUUUUGAAAUAAACAAUUUUACAAUAUUUUUUUAAUAAUAAAUCAUUUGUUAUUAUAACUUUUAAUAUAAUUAUUAUAAAAAUUAAUAAAUUUAUUAUAUAUAAUAAUUUGUGAUCAAAUGAUUAUAUAAAAUUAUUUUAUUUUAUACUAUUUGCUUACUAUUGUUACUGAUUUAUCACCUGGCCAUGAAGGAUGGCUGCAACAGCAAGGUACCAAGCCGUGUAAGUGGUCAUUCCAAGACCCAAAAAAGACCAGAUUCGGUAAUUGUGGAAGGAAGGUAUGAAAACAGUGGUGGCACAGCAAGCUCCAAAAAUAUAAGUCCAAGUCCGUUUAUCCAAUUUGUCAUUUAUGUAGUAGAUGUUACUGUUUGGAUCAAAGAAGCAAGAACCAAAAAAGAUGAGAGAAAAGAAAAACAACUUCAAGUUGCCCACUCUAUAUUACUUCAAGUUGCCUUUAAAAUCGAAGCAAAGAUGUCACCUUGCACAUGCUAUAAGCUGUAUCACAGAUCCAAAGAGGAGGAAAGUACAGUUGAAGGCUAGCCCCAAUGCUUUCCAAUAUGGACCAAGUAACCCAUCAAGGACUUCGAACCACUGAAAAAUUCAGAAUAGUGCAAUUUUAUCUAGUACUGUAGUUUUUCUCUUAUCAAAUUAGAAAACAAAGAAAAUUGAGAAGACAACACAACAUAACAAUAUUUUUUUUUAUUGACAAAUUUUAGUUGUUAUUCUUAGCAACCUGGAUGACAUGAUUUUUGAAGUUGACGUUUUCCUUUUCCUUUCUGGUGCGGUACUCUAUGUAGAGAACACUGAUUAGAUAAGCAGUCCAGCUUCCAAUAAUUCCAUAGAACACCUGAAAAAUGAUUCCUGAUAGCAUGCCAAGUUGAGAGAAGGAGCAUGGCAGUGUCAAGAGCACUUGAGCCACCUAUAAAAAAUGCAAAAUUUCACUGUUAACUCAUGGACUAAAAGGGACUAAUACUAAUUGUGUUACUUUAUUUUUUCUUGUUUUUUUGUUUGCAUUGGUGAUGGGAAUUUGAGACUAUUGGGUGUGGUGAUUUACUUGAUUUGAAGCACAGCUAAACCAUGCAUCCCAAACAGAACCACCAUGCCAAAGGAUGCUCUUGAGGCUGAAAAUGGAGUGGCCUUGCUCCUUCUCUUCUUCCCUAGUGCUGCCAACUUUAUGUUCUGUCUCGUUUGUGACUAUGGCUUCCUCUGCUUGCUUCUGAGACAACAUUGUCUCUCUUAUCCACAAAAGCAGUGUCUAAAUGUGGAUCUGAAAUACAUAAAAAAGGACACUAAAUGAGACAAAAAAACCGUGAUAUAAAAACGCAGCCCCAGAAAACGAAAGCCAAGAAAGACCCCAGAUCCAGAUAACUGCAAAAUUCCUUUGCAGAAUUCCUAAUGAAAAAUAACAAAAAUAGAAAAGAAGUGGGCACAGACACGGACUCUUUACAUAGGUUUUGGUCACUAAUAAGAUAGCAAAAACUGAAGAAAAUCCAAUACUAGUACUAAUAAUCGCUAUCUAGUAACCUUCGUUGAUAUGUCUCUUUCUCCUAAAGCUUGAAGGAAGAAAAUUCAGAUGACAGAUCCCCCUUCUUCUGAUGGUGUAGUGGUGAUAAUUAUGGAUCCCUUGUUCAUAGGUAGUGGCAGAGAAAGCUUUAAACGUAAGGAAAUUUUAGAGCGUCAGAAUCUGACCAUACCCUAUAUAUGAUUCUUGGAAAAAUGUAAACUCAGCACAAUAAUAGCCACCACCUCUUGAAAGCCGCCACCAAUUGACACAUAAAAAAACGCAAAGCAAAAUCCCCCAGAGACUGCAAAAGCAGCAGCAGCAGGGAGAGGAACAGAAAAAACUCUGCAGGGUUAUACAAAGUUGGUGGUUUUUGUUUUUGGUUCAGAGAAAGACUGAGAAGAAUGAACUAUAUAAAAGACCCUUUUCGUAACUAUUCAACCAGAUAUAUAUAUAUAUAUAUAUAUAGAAGGAGGGAGAGGGUGCUUUUUGUUUUUAUAAUAUAGCCAAAAGAAAAGUAGAGAGACUGUGAAAGUGUGAAGCAACCAAGCAAAGUACUGUGAAAUAAUGCUCGUGUUGCUUUUUGUGGCUGUAUGUUUUUUUCUCUUUUUGCUAAACUCAACGGAGAAAGGUAGAGAUGAGAGGGAUGAAAACUCAAUUCAUUGAUUGUUCCAAAUUCUGAUUCGAUUCUUGGUGGUGAUGAGUGAUGACACGGAAUUUGGGAAAUCAAAGGGACUCAGACGUUGUGCUAAUCAGUAAGAAUUGGAGUGACUGAAUGCCCUCUAUUUUUUAUAGUCCUCCAAAAGCAGCUUCAUCGGCUAAGACAAUUAAUUAAUAUUCAAAUUAUUAAUUAUAAAUAUUUUAGCCACUUUUUUUUAGUAUAAAUGAUAAGUAUCUUUUGUUGAAAAUAAUAUUGUUGGAGUCAAAUAAAAUACUACAGACAAUAAAUUUUUUAUUUUUAAGUAUUUGACACAAUCGUAUGUUAAGAAUGUAGAUGCAAUUGGCUUUGAUGUUUUGAUGAUGAUCAUGAUAAUGUGUUGCAAUUGAUGCAAAUGGGCUUUUCAAGAUUAAAAUUCAAGACAAUACUUCAAGAUUACAAGGCACAACAUCAAGAUGAUCACUAGAAUAUUAGGAAGGGAAUUCCUAAUUGAAUUAGCAAAGGUUUGGCCAAGUGAUUUAAAAUAAAAAGUGUUUUUCAAAGGUUUUACUCUCUGGUAAUCGAUUACCAGAGGAUGUAAUCGAUUACCAGUGACCAAAUACAUUUUAUAACAGCUAUAAAAAUUUGAAUUCGAAAUUUUAAAAGCUGUAAUCGAUUACACAAUAUUGGUAAUCGAUUACCAGUAGUUAGUAAACGUUUUAAUUCAAAUUUUAAAAGCUGUAAUCGAUUACACAAUUACUGUAAUCGAUUACCAGACAGGAAUUUCAGAAAAAUAAUUUCAAGAGUCACAACUUUUCAAAGGCUUUACUCAUGACCACCAAUGGUCUAUAUAUAUGUGACUUAAACACGAAAUUGCUUAGAGAUUUUCAGAACAACAAAGUGUUUAUCCUCUCAAAGAGCAAUUUCAUUUUAUCCUCUUAAGAAUUCCUUGGCCAAUUCAAUUGCAAUUCAUUAAGGAAUUAAUUGAGUGCUCAAUUUGUAAAAUCCAUCUCUUUCUAGAGAGAUUUGUUCCUCUUCUUCUUCUCAUUCUCUAAGGGAUUAAGAGACUGUGAGUCUCUUGUUGUAAAGAAUCUCUAAACACAAAGGAAGGGUUGUCCUUGUGUGUUUAGAACUUGUAAAAGGAAUUUACAAGUUAGUGGAACUCUCAAGCGGGUUGCUUGGGGACUGGACGUAGGCACAAGGGUGUGGCCGAACCAGUAUAAAACUGAGUUUGCAUUUUCUCUUCCCUUAAUCUCCUUUAUUUAUUAUUGCUUUAUAUUUAUAUUCAAGUUGCUUCAUUUGAAUUAAUAUUUAAGAAGAUUGUCAUUAAGGGAAUUCAUAACUUAAGUAAAAAGUAAGAUAGAUUUUUAAUUAGGAGAAAAGUUUGGAAUAUCUUAAUUCAACCCCCCCCCUUCUUAAGAUAUCUGAGGCCACUUGUCUAACAAGUGGUAUCAGAGCUUCAUUCUUGUACAAAGUUUAGAAGCUUCAAGAAAAAGAUGGCCUCAGCAAAUUCCUUAUUUCCAGAAGGGAAUUCUAUCAAUAGACCUCCAAUCUUUAAUGGAGAGGGUUACCACUACUGGAAAACCCGAAUGCAAAUUUUUAUCGAGGCAAUAGAUCUAAAUAUCUGGGAAGCCAUAGAAAUAGGGCCUUAUAUACCCACCACAGUAGAAAGAGUUUCAAUAGAUGGUAGUUCAUCAAGUGAAAGCAUAACCAUAGAAAAACCUAGAGAUAGAUGGUCUGAAGAGGAUAGAAAACGAGUACAAUACAACCUAAAAGCCAAAAACAUAAUAACAUCUGCCCUAGGAAUGGAUGAAUAUUUCAGAGUUUCAAAUUGCAAGAGUGCUAAGGAAAUGUGGGACACUCUUCGAUUAACACAUGAAGGAACUACAGAUGUUAAAAGAUCUAGGAUAAAUGCACUAACUCAUGAGUAUGAAUUAUUUAGAAUGAAUACAAAUGAAAAUAUUCAGAGUAUACAAAAGAGAUUUACACAUAUAGUAAAUCAUCUAGCAGCCUUAGGCAAAGAAUUUCAAAAUGAAGAUCUUAUAAACAAGGUGCUAAGAUGUUUAAGUAGAGAAUGGCAACCCAAAGUAACGGCUAUUUCUGAAUCAAGAGAUUUGUCUAACAUGUCUCUUGCCACUUUAUUUGGUAAGUUGCAGGAACACGAGAUGGAACUAUUGAGAUUGCACCAAAAUGAAGAAAAUGACAAGAAAAGGAAAGGAAUUGCUCUUAAAGCAUCAUCCUCAAUUCAAGAAGAAAGUGAUCAGGAUAAUGAUGCAGAUGAUGAUGAUGAUCUAAGUUUCUUUGUAAAAAGGUUCAACAAAUUUCUUAAAGUAAGAGGAAAUCAGAGGCGACCAAAUUUUAAAUCAAAGAGAAGGACAGAAAAUUCAUCCUCUACUCUAAAAUGCUUUGAAUGCAAUCAACCUGGACAUCUGAGGGUUGAUUGUCCCAUCUUCAAGAAAAAGAUGGAAAAAUCUGAAAAGAAAAAUCAUAGUGAGAAGAAACUAAAGAAAGCAUACAUCACAUGGGAUGAAAAUGAUUUGGAAUCCUCUGAUGAUUCUGAAAAUGAAGAGAUAAAUCUUUGCCUUAUGGCAAAAAGCUACGAAAGUGAUGAAGAGGUAACAUCUUCAAACAACUUAUCUAUUUCUUUUGAUGAAUUGCAGGAUGCAUUUGCUGAUUUGCAUAAAGAAUCAAUUAAACUUGCAAAAUUAGUUUCAUCAUCAAAGAAAACAAUUUCAAAUUUAGAAAAUGAAAUUUCAAAAUUAAACAAAGAAUUAGAUCUUCUUAGAAAUGAAGUUUCAAUCUCUAAAACAAAUGAAAAAGUUAAUAUCUCCACUAUAAAUGACAAGAAAAUAACAGAUUCUUGUAGUUGUUGUGAUAAAUAUGUAAAAGAAAUUAAAGAGUUAAAAAAUUCACUUGCAAAAUUUUCAUAUAGUAGAAAUAAUUUAGAUGUUAUAUUAAGUAAACAAAGAUAUGUGUCUAAUAAAAAUGGACUAGGGUAUAAAUCUGAAAAACUACAAAAGGUUCAUAAAAACUUUUCCACUUCCACACAAAAAUGUAAUUCUAAUUCUAUCACUUGUUUUUACUGUGGAAGAAGAGGACAUGGCAUAUCAACUUGCUACUUCAAGAAAAAUUACAGUAAUAUUAAAAUGAUAUGGGUCCCAAAAGGAUCCUCAGUUAAUACUAACAUGCAAGGACCCAAUAAAAUUUGGGUACCUAAGUCAAAAACUUGAUUAUGCAGGUAUCUUUGAGAAAGAAGUGGUACAUAGAUAGCGGAUGCUCAAAACAUAUGACUGGAGAUGCAUCAAAUUUUACACACAUAUCUCCAAAGAAAAGCGGGCAUGUAACAUAUGGUGACAACAACAAAGGUAGAAUUCUUGGAGUGGGUAAAAUAGGUACAAAUUCUUCAAACUCCAUUGAAAAUGUUCUACUUGUUGAAGGCCUUAAGCAUAGCCUGCUUAGCGUUAGUCAACUAUGUGACAAAGGCUAUCUAGUAUCAUUUGAUUCUCAGAAAUGUCUUAUAGAACAUAAGCAUGACAUUAAUAUAAAGCAUGUAGGACAUAGAGUCAAUAAUGUUUACAUGAUAGACUUAAGCAUAAAACAAGAAAACAAUCAUUGCUUUCUUAGUAAAGAUGAUGAUCCAUGGUUAUGGCAUAAAAGAAUUGCUCACAUAAACAUGGAUCACUUAAAUAAAUUAAUUUCAAAAGAUUUAGUAGUUGGUUUGCCUAAAUUGAAAUUUGAAAAAGAUAAAUUAUGCGAUGCAUGUCAAAAGGGCAAACAAACAAGAGUCUCAUUCAAAUCUAAAAAUGUUGUUUCAACCACUCGACCAUUACAGUUAUUGCAUAUGGAUCUAUUUGGUCCAUCUAGAACCAUGAGUUUUGGAGGAAAUUACUAUGCUUUAGUUAUAGUUGAUGAUUUCUCUAGAUAUACUUGGACAUUAUUUAUUACACAUAAAAGUGAUUCAUUCCAUGCAUUUAGGAAACUUGCUAAAGUCAUACAAAACAAGAAAAAUCUCAAGAUUGCAUCCAUUAGAAGUGAUCAUGGGGGUGAAUUUGAAAAUAAAGAUUUUGAAUUAUUUUGUGAUGAACAUGGUAUUGAACAUAAUUUUUCUGCACCAAGAACUCCUCAACAAAAUGGAGUUGUUGAGAGGAAAAAUAGGUCAUUGGAAGAAAUUGCAAGAACUUUAUUAAAUGAUACUUCUCUUCCAAAGUAUUUUUGGGCUGAAGCUGUCAAUACUGCAUGUUACAUCAUGAAUAGAGCCUUGAUAAGACCUAUUUUAAAGAAAACCCCAUAUGAAUUAUUUAACGGUAGAAAACCUAAUAUUUCUCAUCUACAUGUUUUUGGGUGCAAGUGCUUUGUACUUAAUAAUGGUAAAGAUAAUCUAGGAAAAUUCGAUGCAAAAUCUGAUGAAGGCAUUUUUCUUGGAUAUUCUUUACAAAGCAAAGCAUAUAGAAUAUAUAAUAAGAGAACUAUGAAUAUAGAGGAAUCCAUUCAUGUUACCUUUGAUGAAUCUAAUGCUAUAUUGUCAACAAAGAAUAUGCUAGAUGACAUUGCAGAUUCUUUAGAACAUAUGAACAUUCAUGAACAAGAUUCCAAAGGAAAUGACAAAGGAAACAAUGAAGAUCCUCCAGAAGAAGGCAAAUCCAAUGAUGUACUCCCAAGAGAAUGGAAAACUUCAAGAGAUCAUCCCCUCGACAAUAUUAUUGGUGAUAUCUCAAAAGGGGUAACAACUAGACAUUCUCUUAAAGAUUUAUGCAAUAAUAUGGCUUUUGUAUCUAUGAUUGAACCUAAAAAUAUAAAAGAAGCCAUAGUAGAUGAUAAUUGGAUCAUUGCCAUGCAAGAAGAACUAAACCAAUUUGAAAGAAACAAUGUAUGGAAAUUAGUAGAAAAACCUGAAAAUUAUCCUGUUAUUGGAACAAAAUGGGUUUUUAGAAAUAAAUUAGAUGAACAUGGUAUAAUUAUUAGAAAUAAAGCCAGGUUAGUAGCAAAAGGGUAUAAUCAAGAAGAGGGGAUAGACUAUGAAGAAACAUAUGCUCCUGUUGCAAGAUUAGAAGCCAUUAGAAUUCUUUUGGCAUAUGCAUCCAUAAUGAACUUUAAACUUUAUCAAAUGGAUGUUAAGAGUGCCUUUCUAAAUGGCUUAAUUCAAGAAGAGGUAUAUGUUGAACAACCCCCUGGUUUUGAAAUUUCUGAUAAACCAAACCAUGUUUAUAAAUUACAAAAGGCUCUUUAUGGUUUGAAACAAGCCCCUAGGGCAUGGUAUGAACGAUUAAGUAAUUUUCUUCUUGAAAAAGAAUUCUCCAGAGGUAAAGUGGAUACCACAUUAUUCAUAAAGAGAAGGCAUAAUGAUAUUUUGUUGGUUCAAAUAUAUGUUGAUGAUAUAAUUUUUGGAUCCACUAAUGAUUCAUUGUGCAAGGAGUUUUCCCUUGAUAUGCAAAGUGAAUUUGAAAUGUCAAUGAUGGGAGAACUAAAGUACUUUCUGGGAUUACAAAUCAAGCAAACUCAAGAAGGUAUAUUCAUCAAUCAAUCCAAAUACUGCAAGGAAUUGAUCAAAAGAUUUGGGAUGGAUAGUGCAAAACACAUGUCUACACCGAUGAGCACUAAUUGUUACUUAGAUAAAGAUGAAUCUGGUCAGUCUAUAGACAUAAAACAAUAUCGAGGUAUGAUCGGAUCUCUUCUUUAUUUAUCUGCUAGUAGACCUGAUAUUAUGUUUAGUGUAUGCAUGUGUGCUAGGUUUCAAUCCAACCCCAAACAAUCACAUCUAAGUGCAGUAAAGAGAAUCAUGAGAUAUCUAUUAGGAACAAUCAAUUUAGGAUUAUGGUAUCCUAAGAAUUCAACAUGUAACUUAAUAGGAUAUUCUGAUUCUGAUUUUGCCGGGUCUAAAACUGAUAGAAAAAGUACAAGUGGAACUUGUCAAUUUAUUGGAUCGGCUCUUGUCUCAUGGCAUAGUAAGAAACAAAACAGUGUUGCUUUAUCUACUGCUGAAGCGGAGUAUAUCUCUGCCGGUAGUUGUUGUGCACAAAUUUUAUGGAUGAAGCAACAAUUAUCUGACUAUGGCAUCAUUCUUGAUCGCAUACCUAUUAAGUGUGAUAAUACUAGUGCCAUAAAUCUAUCCAAAAACCCAGUUCAACAUUCAAGAACUAAACAUAUAGAGAUUAGACACCACUUUCUUAGAGAUCAUGUCUUAAAGGGAGAUUGUGUAUUAGAAUUUGUUGAUACUAAGAAUCAACUUGCUGAUAUUUUCACUAAACCUCUCCCCAAGGAAGUGUUUUUCUCUAUUAGAAGAGAAUUAGGUCUCUUAGAUGUAAGAGAUUUAGAAAAAUAGGAAUUGAUUGGUUGAUUGAUUAGUUGAUUGAUUGAUUGAUUUACUUUUUACCUUUUGAUUGUAGAUUAUUUUGUUUGAUCUUGUUUGAAUUCUUGUUUUUAUGAUAGAAUUUAUGAUUUCUUGUGUAUAUAGUAAUUGAAUGAUUGAAUUUAGUGUAUUAGUAGUGAAAAUUAGUCAUAUAAGAUGUAUUUGAGCAUAAAUAUAGAUAUUCUCUUAGAAACUAGCCUAGGAUAGGCUCUGGUAAUCGAUUACCACUCAAUGUAAUCGAUUACACUUGAACAGGCAGCCUGUAAUCGAUUACAACAUCCUGUAAUCGAUUACCAGAAGGCUUAUUGGGCCUGUAAUCGAUUACCAAUACCUGUAAUCGAUUACAAUGCGUCAUCUUCUANNNNNNNNNNNNNNNNNNNNNNNNNNNNNNNNNNNNNNNNNNNNNNNNNNNNNNNNNNNNNNNNNNNNNNNNNNNNNNNNNNNNNNNNNNNNNNNNNNNNGAGAAGCCAGAGUGAGAUAACUUUGACCAACUUUUCUUUUCUUUGACUCAUUUACCCAGUCAAGGUGCACCUUUUGAGGGCACCAUUGUUGAUGACUGGAAAUUCGAUUAUUCGAGUCAUGAUGCUCGUCGCAUGGUCUGCAAUGAUCAAGCUGACAUGACCGGUAGAUUGUUGGCCGGGUCAUUAACUUUUGAUAAUCGCAUCAUGCAUUAUAUCAUUGUUAGAAUUUUGCUUCCUCGGUCUUCAAAUUUAGCACAAGCCUCUGAGGAGGAUUUGAUUCUUAUGUGGGCUUUUCUAACCGGUCGUCAGAUCGACUGGGCCCAUUUGGUUCGGUACCGAAUGCAUAAGGCAUUACGGGCCAAUGCACCUCUUCCUUAUCCACACUUGAUUACUCUGUUUUUGCGUCAUUUUCAAAUUCCGCUUGAUGAUGAACCCUUUGUUCAAGUCAAGCGUUCCUUUGCAAUUGGUGCUGGUGCAGUGACCUCCUUUGGGUAUCGUAAAGAUCGGAAUGGACAAUGGCUGAAGAAGGAUGCACUCCCUCCUCAAGAUGAACGUACUCCUUCACCUCCUCCUCAACGUGAGGAUUCUGCUCUCAUGAAUGAAGUCCUCUCCGAAUUACGGGGUCUUCGUUCGUAUGUUGGUGACCGCUUUGACUCGUUAGAUUCACGCUUUGCCGGUAUGGACAUUCGUCUUACACAGCUUGAAGAGGAUGUCGGAUACAUUCGUCAGAGUUUCGAUCUUCCACCACCUCCUCCGUCUUCUUAGCUUUUAGAUUCUGAUUAUUUAUCUUUUAUAAGCCGUGUAUUUUGGCUUUUAGUUUCUUAGAAUUUACAUUAUUAUGCUAAGUACUUUGCUUAUUUAUCUUGUGGAUUUUAAAUUUCAGUCUUGGAUGUUUUGUGGUUGUUUACAUUUUCAGUUAUUUGGAUUCUGGUUUGAUUAUUUCUUGUUUGUGAGUUUGGCUUAUUGUAUUUAAUACUCUGAUGCUUAUAUCUUGCUACUCCAUUGUUAUAACUGUGUUGAUUUCCGGGUUCUUUGGCUUUUUGAUGUUGCCAAAGGGGGAGAAAAAGGUUGUAGCAAAGAAAAAGCUUAAGAAAAAGCUUAACAAACUUAGAAAUCAAGUGAUCAUGUAUUCCGAAAUAUAGGGGGAGAAAACGGAUGCACAUUUUAUCUAUAAACAAUUGUUUGUUGCUUGCUUGAAUCUUGAUUUCAGGUAUUGUAUUGUCAUCAUCAAAAAGGGGGAGAUUGUAGAUGCAAUUGGCUUUGAUGUUUUGAUGAUGAUCAUGAUAAUGUGUUGCAAUUGAUGCAAAUGGGCUUUUCAAGAUUAAAAUUCAAGACAAUACUUCAAGAUUACAAGGCACAACAUCAAGAUGAUCACUAGAAUAUUAGGAAGGGAAUUCCUAAUUGAAUUAGCAAAGGUUUGGCCAAGUGAUUUAAAAUAAAAAGUGUUUUUCAAAGGUUUUACUCUCUGGUAAUCGAUUACCAGAGGAUGUAAUCGAUUACCAGUGGCCAAAUACAUUUUAUAACAGCUAUAAAAAUUUGAAUUCGAAAUUUUAAAAGCUGUAAUCGAUUACACAAUAUUGGUAAUCGAUUACCAGCAGUUAGUAAACGUUUUAAUUCAAAUUUUAAAAGCUGUAAUCGAUUACACAAUUACUGUAAUCGAUUACCAGACAGGAAUUUCAGAAAAAUAAUUUCAAGAGUCACAACUUUUCAAAGGCUUUACUCAUGACCACCAAUGGUCUAUAUAUAUGUGACUUAAACACGAAAUUGCUUAGAGAUUUUCAGAACAACAAAGUGUUUAUCCUCUCAAAGAGCAAUUUCAUUUUAUCCUCUUAAGAAUUCCUUGGCCAAUUCAAUUGCAAUUCAUUAAGGAAUUAAUUGAGUGCUCAAUUUGUAAAAUCCAUCUCUUUCUAGAGAGAUUUGUUCCUCUUCUUCUUCUCAUUCUCUAAGGGAUUAAGAGACUGUGAGUCUCUUGUUGUAAAGAAUCUCUAAACACAAAGGAAGGGUUGUCCUUGUGUGUUUAGAACUUGUAAAAGGAAUUUACAAGUUAGUGGAACUCUCAAGCGGGUUGCUUGGGGACUGGACGUAGGCACAAGGGUGUGGCCGAACCAGUAUAAAACUGAGUUUGCAUUUUCUCUUCCCUUAAUCUCCUUUAUUUAUUAUUGCUUUAUAUUUAUAUUCAAGUUGCUUCAUUUGAAUUAAUAUUUAAGAAGAUUGUCAUUAAGGGAAUUCAUAACUUAAGUAAAAAGUAAGAUAGAUUUUUAAUUAGGAGAAAAGUUUGGAAUAUCUUAAUUCAACCCCCCCCUUCUUAAGAUAUCUGAGGCCACUUGUCUAACAAAGAAUUUAAAUUCAAAUCUCCUAAUUAAAUUAAAAUAAUUUUAAUUGAUGUACGUGUUCAUAGGUAUCCUCUAGCCCACAUGAUCAUCUUGUUUUAGGUUUCAGUUCUUGGGUUUUUUAUAUUCUGGAUUUCUUUUCGUGUAUUUAUAGUUCUUCCAUACGACUUACUUUGCUUGUUUUGGCAAAAUUGAGAGUAGGGAAACAACACAUGUAAAGUCCGAAAUUCUGGAUAAGCAUUGUAUAAUAAAAUCAUGAUAUUUAAUGUAGUUUUUUUGAACUUAUAGUAAUCUUUUAUGGUCAAAAUAGUUGUCUUGAUCGAAAGGAAAAGAUACCCAAGCAUGUACAAUUAAUAAAGUUACGACUGCUAAUCGAUACCAAUUUAGCAGGCGAAACUUAAUAUUUACUCGGGAUAUAUCCAUCUUUAGAAUAAAAAAAUUAAAGUCUCUUAAUUGAUAAAUGGUAUGGCAUGUGCAAUUGUGCACCAUUUGAAGCGAGAUCAUAUUUAAAUUGUAUGUACGUUUCAAUUUUGAUAAAAUAUUUGAUUAUCAGUAGAAGGAUAUUGAAAGAAUUUAACUAAUUAAAAAUAAGUUGUGAUGUGAAAAUAAACGUUGGUGUGAAUUUCAAAGUACUUCCUCCAAUCUAUCAUAAAGUUCAAAUUAGAAAUAUAGCUUACUUCAAUAGAUAUACAUAGUUAAGGUAAAAGAUUUUAUACAAUUAACUAAUUAAAAAUAAGUUGUGAUGUGAAUUUUUAAGUACUUUCCCAAUUCUUAUUAUGAACUAUAAAUUAAUAUGAAUUGAUCUUUGUUAUAAAGUUUAAUCUAAAAUGUAUUAUGUGUUAAUUACUUUUCAUUCACAUAUCUUUUACUAAAGUUAUUUUUAAAAUGACAUGGAAAUAAAAGAGAUAAUUCAUUAAUGUUUGUUAAUUUUGUUCACACUAUUAUAAAAAAUUAUAUUUUACCACAUGAAAUGAAUGAAGGUUUUUAAAAACCAUCUUAAAAUACAAUACAAUGACAAUUUUAUAGAUAAUAAAAGAUAUAUAAAGACGGUUUUAUAAAAAUGUCUUAAAAAUUGAAUGUUUAAAGACGGUUUUUUUCAAAGUGUCUUUAAAUAUAGGAGUUCAAAUAUGGGUUUGUUAAAAUCGUCUUUAAAAUUAGCAUCUUUUCCCAUUCCUAUCUCCUGCAGAUAUAAGGGAUUCUCCACCAUUGUUCCUGAACCUUCUCCUUGUGACCAACGAAACCCCCUUCGGGAAACUCAACUUCAUGAGAGUUCGGAUUCGACCAAGAACAGAGCCUCAUUGGAGAGCAACAGAAGCUUCUCGAACUCUUCAAUUACCGAGAUGAACUCGACGGCAGCAUCCUUGACCCAAACAGUUCUCAGGAACGAGAGCUGAUGCAAAAUGAUGUCAUCGUUGUCGUUGUAGUCCUCGACAGAGAGGGAAAAUAGGGUUCCGGAGUGAGUUCCUUUAACUCUCGACUAGUUAAUUAAUUCAAACUCACUCUUCUAUGAUUUCCUUUAACUUUGUAUAGUCAGAAAGAAAGAAAUGGUUAUUUCCUUCGAUGGAAUCGGCGUUGGAUUUCAUACGUUGGUUUAGGUUUCACGAUUUCUGCAUAUUUGGAAUCUUGAAUUCCUAUCUCGAAUGCUAAUUUUUCUUUUUCAAGUUUCGGUGUAGGUUGCGGUUGCAAUAUAGGAUGGGGUUUCAGAGGCUUGUGCCUUAUUUUCAAAUCGUUUUAGACAUUUUUAUAGAUUUUGCAAUUUAAUUUUAGUACACAAUUUUGAUAGGUAGUACUACCAUAUAAGAGGGGUAAGGGUUAGGGGUUACCAGAUUUGUUUUCAGUGAGCUGAAAAGUUAUGAAAUUUUCAUAUGAGACAGGUCUACGAUUCAGCAAAGGAGGACUUCGUGGCAAGAUGGUGUUCUUGGCACAAACUAUCAUAUUCCUGCAAAGUGGAAUUGGACUUACCAGUUUCAGGUGAAAGAUCAAAUUGAAAGCUUUUUCUACUUCUCUUCCCUUCAUCUUCAAAGAUGAAGGGGUUUCAUCAUAAACAACAAACUUGUCAUUCCGAUUCCUUUUGAUACUCUAUAUGGGGGACAUUGUUGUUUUCAUUGGAGUAGUCCAUUUUAUGUUUUGAAUUAUGGUAUUGGUUUUUCUUCCAAUGAGCCCUAUGUUGCACGAGUAUAGGGAUUGGGUGGUAUGUCCUAAUAUUGAAAUUGUUUUUUAUUCCUUUUGAAAGAAGAUUUUGAAUGGUGUUAAUGUCUUAUGCCCUAUUUGGAAAUUGGAAGCAUGUGACAAGUUAGUGAACUUUUAAAAUUAGUUUGAAUAGUAUGAAAGAAUAACUACUGUGAAUGUUGAGGCUGAGCUUGAAUAGCUCUGGACUGGAGGAAUUAUUAUUGGGUUUUGAAAACAUGUUAAAGCAAGCAAUUGGCAAAAUCUGCAAAACCGAUGUUUAUGCUUGUGAAGGAAACAAAGUUUUGCCUUGGAUUUAUGUGCCUUUGAGCUUUUUCCACCAUGGACAAGUAAAGUCUCCUAUUCUUCCAUUUAAAUCGCAAUUUCUAUUUUUUAUAUAUAUAUUUUACUAUAGAAUUUCUCAUUUAUCUGUUUACUAAAUAGUAUAAUUUGGUUGCAUAUGGAUUUAAGUGUCCAACUUUGGGUGCAACUUUAUUCUUUUAUGAACUUCCUUUUUUUCUUUGCUACCCUUCUUUGUUAGUGUUAGUGUAUGGAAAUUGGAAUAUAUCAUAUAAUAGAAUGACAAUGGAGAUUUUUAUUUUGUGAACAUGGACGCUACUGUUGCUAUACGCACUCUUGAAGCAACUUAUAAGUCAUCAGCCAAUGUAGUUGCUAUUGAAACUAUGAUUCUUAAACAUACUCAAAAGGUAUAUUAUAAUUGCUGAAAUAGGCACAUUAUAGAAGAGUUUAAUUCAUGUAUUUAUAUUUCUUGGAUUGACUGUCUUUUUCUUCCUUAUUCACACAUUUUAUUUGUAAAUGUAUUUGGGCUCUAUUCUCAAUGUGUCUUUUAUAUGCAACUAGUUGCACUUAGGGGCUUUUUACUUGGGAUGUAUUUGUCUAAGAAGGUUGUUGGGGAGAUUCGAGGGGUACACCUGUGGACCACGAGCCACCACAUAAGGAAGCUUGACACCACACUCUAACCCAAAACCUUAAGGCUCAGGUUUAUGGGUCUUCUCCUCACUUAUAUGGUGCUCAACCUUUCCACUUCUACCCGAUGUGGGACUUCACCUCACACUUGUAACCCAACACAUCUCCCCCUCAAGUGUGAGUCUCUUCCACAUGGUAGUCUCCCCCUCGAGCGGAAGUCUUUAUCAUCCACGAGUAUAGCCAUGGCCACCUGCGGUAGUUGCCCUGCCCACUAGCCAUUCUGGCCACCCCGCUACACCUGCGGGGCACGUUGUACCGCUAGCCAUUCUGGCCACCUGCGGUACUUGUAUACUCGUCUGAGCCGGUCAUCAACUUGAACCAUCGGCUCUGAUACCAAUUGUUGGGGAGAUUCGAGGGGUACAUCUGUGGACCACGAGCCACCACAUAAGGAAGCUUGACACCACACUCUAACCCAAAACCUUAAGGCUCAGGUUUAUGGGUCUUCUCCUCACUUAUAUGGUGCUCAACCUUUCCACUUCUACCCGAUGUGGAACUUCACCUCACACUUGUAACCCAACAAAGGUAACUACUUGCUUAUAACCUCCAUUCCUGAUAUGUUGUAUUUUGUUGGUUCCGACCUCAUGGUUCUCCUUAUUCAGUAAACCAACCAGACUUUAUAAAUGUGAAACUCUCUAGACAUAUGAUAUCAUCUCAAGCUAAUAACUAAACAAUUUAACCAAAAAGACGUAAUACUAGGGAAAAUAGUUGAAAUUGAGUUAUGGUAUUUAAAAUUCUUUUCUUAAAUAUUGUUAUUUAUAGAAUUUGGCUCAUUCAUGCAUAGUUUUCUACCCUGGAAUUCCACUAUUCUAGCAUAAAAUAUAUAUGACUUCUAUGAGAAGUUCAGUGGCAUGUUAAAGGUUCAUCUAGUAGGACCUUGUUGGGAACAAACAUGUUCUUUCACCCAUAUAAUAUAUAACUAACUGAAGUCUUCAUGUUAGUUUGGUUGAUUAAGACUUAAGAGCACCUUAUUUUAAUAGUACGAAAAUGCUAAUGAUCUUCUAACCACAUUGUAUAUUCUGUAGAUAGUGCACUACGAUUGAAGCUCACACCUACAUUUGUGUUUAUGUUUUGGAAUAUUACCUUUAUGCAGCUAUAAACUAAAAACACGAUUUUUCAUUCCUUUUGAAGGUUAUUGCCUACAUCGGAGGUGUUCUCUUUCUUGUCUUUGCCUCAAUAACAUUAUUUGAGAUUGUGCAAUAGUGGUUAAAAGAAAUGCAAUAUAAUCUCCAUGCAAAGGGUUCAAGAACGUAAUGACCUCUAGAGUUGUUUGAUUCUGCAUUCUAUUUAUGGCAGCUCUAGAAGAUAAAAAAAUGUACUAUAAAAUACUGCAUCUAUUUUAGGAAUAGAUUAUUAUAUGCAAUCCUCAUCAAGUAUGUGAAACAUGAUUUAAUUGUUGAUAAUUAUUUCACGUAUUAUACUAGUAUUUGUAAAUGCAUUUUAAUUGCGUGCAUUUCCAGGAAACAAAAAUAUAGCUUAUUACUUAUUAGGAAACAAAAAUAUAGCUUAUCAAUUAUCAGGAAACAAAAAUAUAGCUUGUUGUGUGCAUUUUUAUUUAUUUAUUCAAUUAAAAAUGUUUUUCUAACAUUUUACCUUAGUGUAUUUGAAGUAAUAUUAUAAUCGGAACAAGAAAUUAGACAUUUAUUUUUAUUUUUUAAAAAAAAAUAUUUUAAGACGGUUCUUUAAAAAAACCGUCUUAGAAAGUAGACUAUCUAAAAUGAUUUCUCAGAAAAUCGUCUUAGAAUCCUCUAAUUUUUUUUAAUUUUUCUUUUACAAAAUAAGACAUUCUAAGAUGGUUUUUCAGAAAGUGGACUAUUUAAGUCUGCUUUCUAAGAUGAUUUUUGAGAAAACCGUCUUAGAAUCUUCAAAUUUUUUUAAAAAGAAGACAUUUUAAGAUAGUUUUUCAAAAAAAACCGUCUUAGAAAGAUUCACUUUUUAAGGUGGUUUUUUCCAAAAACCGUCUUAAACAUUGGACAUUCUAAGUCAUGGAAAAUUUUUUACUUUCUAAGAUGGCGACUACGAAGACAGUUAAAAAAUGUCAUAAAAUGCUCCUUAUAAUCGUCAUGGAAAGCGAUUUUGUUAGUAGCGUAAUAAUGAUAGUUUUGGAAGAAAAAAUAAUAAUUUAAGACAUUUAAUAUUCUCAACUACAUUAAUUCUAGUGAAUUAGUUAAACGAACCUUAUAAUAAACAUUGGAGGGAGUAGUUAUUAUCAAAACAAACAAAUUUAUCAUAUAUAACAUUAUGAUUGGAGGACAGAGUAAUCAAAUCUUCAUAUUGUACUUGAAAAGAGAGUUUUGUCAGACAAUCGUCAUAUCCAACUCGAAUAAUAUUGUCUCCAGUAAAGGAUAUUUAGUCUAUAAAAUAAAUAAAUAAAUUCAUUUUGUCAAUACAUACUACCUCCUUCCCAUUUAUUUUUAUGUUUAAGGUUAUUGCAUAUGGAGUAAGAAAUAUAUAGUGAAACUAAAAAUUAUUAUAUUUGGACCAAAAUAUCCUUAUUUAAUACAUUGAUCUUUGUGUGAAUGUAUGUAUACAUGAUUUUGAUGAUGUCAAAGAUAAGCGCUUCUCAAGUUUGAUCCAAGUCAAGAAUUCAAAAAUUCAGAAAAUAACUCCCAAGAGUCACAACUCUUUAGAAAAUAACUCCUAAGAGUCACAUCUGUUCAAGAGAUUUUUAAAUGGUCAUCAAAGGCCUAUAAAUAGGUGACUUGGGACACAAAAUGUAUGAGAGAGAUAUUCCAAGAGAACUUCAUUGCCAAAUGCUCUCUCAAAAGAAACUCUUGGGCAAACACUUGCAAAUCCAUUAAGAGUUUCUCCAUGGACUUCAAUUGUAAUAUCCUUCUCUUCAAGAGAGAAUUCUUCUUUCUUUCUUCUCAUUCAAAGAGAUUGAUUAAGAGACUGAGGGUCUCUUAAGGUUUAAGGAUUCCUGAAUACAAGGGAUGGGUUGUCCUUGUGUGGUUCAGACUUUGUAAAUCUCAAGUGGGUUGCUUGAGUACUGGACGUAGGCACGAACUUUGCCGAACCAGUAUAAAACUGUGUUUGCAUUCUCUCUUCCCUUAUCUCAUUUAUUUUGUUGUAAUCAAUUUUGUCUUUUAUGUUUAAAGAACAUUAUUAAAUUGAUCGUUGUUUCUUCUGCAUUCUAAGCCUAUCCCUCUUAAGUUAUUGAGGCCGCUGGUCCAACAAGUGGUAUCAGAAAAGGAUUCUUGUAUAAAGUUCAAAAACUUCAAGAAUAGAUAUGGCCUCAUCCAACUUUCCAUUUCCUAAGCAAACUCUAUCAAUAGGCUCUUAUGUUCAAUGGUGAGGGUUAUCAUUAUUGGAAAACCCAAAUGCAGAUCUUUAAAGAAGUCAUAGAUUUAAAGAUAUGGGAAGCCAUUAAAUUUGAUUCCUUUAUUCCUACAAUGGUAGAAAGAAAUGUAAAUACAACUACAUAAAAAAACUAGAGAAGAAAGAAGAUGAUGAUGAAAGAAGAAAGAAGAAGAUUCCUCUUUAGCCCCAAAAUGCUGAAUGCGAUCAAUUUGGGCACAUGAAAUUCAAUUGUCCUGUCUUCAAAAGAAGAAUGAAAAAUCUGAUAAGAGGAAUUUCAAAGAGAAGAAAGAAAAGAAAGGAUAUAUCACUUGGGAAUAUAAUGUCAUAAAUUCUUCAAGUGAUUUAGAGAAUAAAAUCAUAAGUCUGGGUAUCAUGAUGAAAGACUAUGAAAAUGGAGAAGAGCAAAGUCGAUACAUUGAUAGCAAUUUCUCCAAACACAUGGCAUGCAUCAAAGUUUAUAUAUAUUUCUCCCCAAGAUAAGUGGAUAUGUGAUUUAUGAAGACAACAAACAAAAGCCACAUUUCUCUCCAAGAAAAGUGAAUCUCAAGAAAAGUGAAUAUGUGAUUUAUGGAGACAACAAAGGCCACUUGAUCAACAAGUCCAACAAGUGAUAUCAAAUGAUACCAUCAGGUCACUUGUCUUUGAUUGAUUACUUUUGAUGUAUGUUUUCUACUUGAGUUUAGACUAUUCUUGAUGAUUGUGAUUGAAUUUGAUCGAUUGUGUUUGAUGAUUGAUUGAUUGUAUUUUUUUAUUGAUGUGUUUGUCUUUGCUUGAUUGAUAUUCAAUGUUUGUUAGUUUGAUUGAUUGAUUAUAUUUUAUAUUUGAUUAAUUAUGUUUGAUGAUUGUUCUUGAUUGAGUUUUGAUUGUCUUUGAUGGUUGUUCCUGAUUGAGUUUUUGAUUGUCUUUAAAGAAUCUAUUAAACUUUUCAAAUUAGUUUCAUAUUUUAAGAAAACUUUCAAAUUUAGAAAAUGAAAUUUUGAAAUUAAAAUUUGAAAUUUGAAAUUAAAAUUUGGAAGUUGGAAGUUGGAAGUUGAAAGUUGGAAGUUGGAAAUGGAAGUUAUUGGAAGUUGAAAGUUGAAAAUGGAAGUUGGAAGUUGGAAGUUGGAAGGAGAAGUUACUGGAAGUUGAAGUUGGAAGUUGGAAUUUAAAAUUUAAAAUUUGGAAUUUGAAAUUUGAAUAUUUUUUUGAAUAGAAACUAUUGUGCAUAGUUAGUUGAUUGUUAAUUUGAUUUGAAAUGUUUAAUGAUUGAUUGUAUUUGAUUGUGUUUGAUUGAUGUGCUAUUGUACUUGUUUUUGCUUGAUUAAUAUUGAAUGAUUGUUUUAAUGCCUUUUGGUAUCACUUGAUUCUCAUAUUUUACAACAAGUGAUAACAUUUUUCUCUUCUCUAUUCAUAAUUCGUUUUUUAUGUUGGCAAAGGGGGAGAGAUAGAUAAAAGAUAUAUGAAAUAUUUAUGAGACAACUUCUUAUAUAUGAAAUCUUCAACUGUCUCAUAUAAGCAAUCAUUGCAAAACAAAGGGGGAGUAAAACUAUAUACAAAUGGAUAUUUUUGUUGUUGUUAUUGCUCCUAACCUACAGGUGGUUGUCAUCAUCAAAAAUGGGGAGAAUGUAAAUCAUCAAGAUUUUAAUGAUGUAAAAAAGAUCAAGCUUUGGAUAAUGAGCGUCAUCAUAAAAAAGGGGGAGAAUGUGGAUCAUGCAUUGUUUUGAUGAUGUCGAAAAGAAAUCACUUGAUUGUCAUCAUCAAAAAGGGGGAGAAUGUGAAUGUAUGUAUACAUGAUUUUGAUGAUGCCAAAGAUAAGCUCUUCUCAAGUUUGAUCCAAGUCAAGAAUUCAAAAAUUCAGAAAAUAACUCUCAAGAGUCACAACUCUUCAGAAAAUAACUCCUGAGAGUCACAUCUGUUCAAGAGAUUUUUGAAUGAUCAUCAAAGGCCUAUAAAUAGGUGACUUAGGACACAAAAUGUAUGAGAGAGAUAUUCCAAGAGAACUCCAUUGUCAAAUGCUCUCUCAAAAGAAACUCUUGGGCAAACACUUGCAAAUCCAUUAAGAGUUUUUCAAUGGACUUCAAUUGAAAUAUCUUUCUCUUCAAGAGAGAAUUCUUCUUUCUUUCUUCUCAUUCAAAGAGAUUGAUUAAGGGACUGAGAGUCUCUUAAGUUGUAAGGAUUCUUGAAUACAAGGGAUGGGUUGUCCCUGUGUGGUUCAGACUUUGUAAACGGAUUUUUACAAAGGGAGUGGAAAAUCUCAAGUGGGUUGCUUGAGUAUUGGACAUAGGCACGGACUUUGUGGAACCAAUAUAAAAUUGUGUUUGCAUUCUCUCUUCCCUUAUCUCAUUUAUUUUGUUGCAAUCAAUUUUGUCCUGUAUGUUUAAAGAACAUUAUUAAAUUGAUUGCUGCUUCUUCUGCAUUCUAAGUCUAUCUCUCUUAAGUUAUUGAGGCCCCUGGUCCAACACUUUGAUACUUGCACCACUAAUAGUAGGUAUUAAAUAAGGGUAUAUUUGAGAAAAAAAUAUUAAUUAGACUUUAAAAUUUUAAAACAUCAAUUAUUUUGGAAAAAAAUAAAAAUCUAAACCAUAAAAAAAUAUGAAAAGGAGAUAGUAUGUUUUUUUUAACUUUAAAAUAAAUAUCUAUUGUUGAUGGAGUGCAAAGAUAUGUUGAUUUAAAUUGAAUCGUCAUCCAAUCAAGUUAUGUUAAUUUUGUUUUGAAUCAUUUAAAUGAAUUUUUUUAUACAAAUCACAAGUAUCUUUUAUAGAAGACUAAUUGGAACCUUGAGAUCAUUGGUUAAAUUUAAACUCAUAUGUCAAUUUAUUCACCUAUUCGAUAGCAUGUAAAUGAAUAUAAAUUUUAUUUAACCUUUAUUUUUAUCAUAAAAGUGUUUAUGAAGGAUUAAUUUAAAAAAUAUUAACCAACAAGAGUUGGUACAAGUGAAAACAACUUGUGUAUUUUAAUAAGUUGACUAGAAUUUGAAUCAUAAUCUUAGUUAUAAAAUAAACCAUGUUGAAAAAAAUAUAUUAUCUUGUGUGUGCUUAUGAUUUUUUUACUAAAGAAAAAAUCACUUGUAUUAAUACCUUUGUGAGUAAAAAAAUAAAAAAAUGCUGAAAUCCUGAUAAAAACACAAAUGAUUUUAAAAAGCUAAAUUUAAAUAUCACAUUUUUAUGAAUUAAUUAAUUUAAUUCAUUAAAAAGGAUGGGCGCAUAAAGCAAUUUUUCUUUCACAAAUGAAAUAUGACCUUCAAAAACUUCAAUUCAACUUUGACUCCUUUCCUUCCAAUUUUAACCAUAGUCAAUACUCAAUAGUCAGACCAUGUUGCUUAGUUGUCCUGUCUGCACCUAUGCUCUCAAUGCUCAGAUCCAAAUCUCAGUUAAUAAUUUAAUUAUUUCAAGAAUUGAAAAUCCCAUUUAAUUAUUUAUUUUCUUUUAACUCAAGGAAAAUUUCUAAAAGAUCCCUUAAAUUAUUUAUUCCCUAUAUAUAUAUAUUUAUGUUCUCCUAAUUCACAUACUAUUAGCUUUGGGAAAGGUAUGAACUUAGGUUUUUAAUUGAUAGUGGUCUAAUCAUCAACUUCCAGAUGUUCCCUAAUCGAUUGCAAGACAGUGAUUCCAUUGUCCGCAUGCUGCGCGUGGCGCACACUUCCCGUCGAAAAUAAUUCAUGUGCCAUAAUUUAGCAGCGAAUGCGAUCACGCUCGUAGUCAGCUGGUGUCCCCAAACGAUCCCAUCAAGUGAUAGUAAUAUAGUAUACAAUCUGUUUUCGUACAAUUUUACUUUUUUUCAGUUAUCAAAUUAAAUUAUGUUCAUACGUAUUAAUAUUUAAUAAUGUAUCAAUAUGUAUACAUUUAGUUUGUGAAGCGGAACUUAGAUUUGAUUUUUGUAAAAUAUAUUUUUAGAUAGAAUAAUGAAUUUUAAGUGUGAUUAAAUUUUGAAUAAAUGAUUAAUCUUGUGACUCAAAGAAUUAGAAUGUAUAAGAUAGCUGGAGAUCUUAUUAGAAAAUAAAAAAUCUUGAUUAUUGGUGUUAUAAAAACAAUUUAUUAGUUUACGUUUUCAAAUAUCAUGACUUGAAAUUUUAAUUUUUCUCCUACACAAACGUAUAUGAAAGGGAUAAAUUAUUUUACAACCUAGGCACAAUUAUAUAUGGGAUAAUAGGAGUAUAAAUCAUUAAUAAUAAUUGCUCCAAAUUAUAUUUUCGGAAAUUGAAAACUCCAAAAAAAAUUAAGUUUAAUGUGGAUAAAAAGAAGCAAAUACAGCAACCGAUGUCGGGCUUUGACAACGGCAAGGGCGCUGGAAUUGUAACAAUUUCAAGAUUCAAAGUUAGGAAAAGGAUAAAGUCAAGAUGAAAAAACAAAUUUAAUAAAUACCACUGACAUGAAACAGUAAAACCCAUGUAUAUAUAAGUCAAUUUGACUUAUUCAUUUGCCUGGAAUAUAAUGCUAGUUUUCACUGUCUAGUGUAACAUCUCAAAUUCUUUUUUUUUUUUAAAUAUAAUCUUAAAGUUAUUUAAAUAAUAAAUAUUAUGGAAUACGUAUAAUUUAAAUUAGUCUAUAUUCCAAAAAUUGUAAAAAUAUCUCAAUAUGUGUAUAUUUUUUUUUUUGGGAGAAAGAAGGAACAUGUAUACAUAUAUAUAUAAUAGAAAACAAAUUCGCAUGUUAUAGUUAUAAUUGUCGGAAUUCACAUUAUGUCGAUUUUAUCAUUCAAUAAUAAUAAUAAUAAUAAUAAAAUAUAUGUGCACAUUUCAGUAAUUUUAUCAAUAAAGAAUCGUCACAAUUUCAGAAUAUACAUUACUCAUCAAAUCUUACACUUAUUUCAGUAAUUUAAUGGUAAAUAAAUUAGCAGUUCCAAAAAAUAAAUAAUUCUAAAAUAAUUUAUACGGAGACAAAAAUUUCAAAGUUAAGCUACUAUCUAAAAUUACUUUGUUGCUCUUUAUUUUUUUCAAAGUUUCGCUCCUAACUUAUUUUUAGUGCUCUCGGUGUUUCAAGAAUUGAAUUUUCACAAAUCUUAUAUGUCACCCUACAUUUUCAAACUUAACAAACUCAUUUUUGAGGUUAAAACUUUAAUAAAAACAGUUCAUACUUUUUUAACACUCAUUCCAAUUUUGUGACAAAUUUUCAUUUUUACAAAGGUCUUUAAACUUGUUUUAUUUGUAACUUUUGCUAGGAAACACUCCUAUUUAAGCGAAUUAUAAGGCUAAUGUUAUGUUUUAACAUGCAAAGAACUCAUUUUUGGCGUAAAAAACUCAAGAAAAACAACUCAAUACACAGAUUUAGGACAUGACAACAAGCAUGAAAAUUUCAAACAACAUGUUCAAGGAAGUUAAGCAAUAAGUAUAGGGUUCAAGAGUUGGAGAGACCCCCCUUACCUCUUGAUGAAAUCAUGAAAUCUUGAAGGAAGAAUGAAGAAUGUUUAGUUUUCAAGGUUUCCUUUCAUAAGUAAAACAAAAUGAAAAUGUUAAGUUAUUAGAGAAGCUAGAACAAGAGAAUGAGAAUGAAUCAAGUCUAGGAUGAAGAAUGGAACUCAUUACCUAAGCUUGAUGGCGCAAUGGCUCAAGAACACUAGGAACAUGCUUGGAAGAAGAAGAAGCAAAAUUGAACUCUUCUCCCUCAAGGUAGAACUCAUGAAAAAAUGGUGAGUGAAGGGUUCAAUUUUUUUUUCUUACAAUGAACAAGAAGAUAAGGCAUAGGCUUCAAGGUGACAAGGCUUUAUGACACUUGAAUGACCCCUUGGCUGGCCAUUUUGAAUGUGCCACUUCAUGCCACAAAUGAGUAGUUUUACUUUUUUCAAAACUACCAAAAAUGGAAAGGAUAGGAUUUAUCAAAAAUGGGUAUUUUUUCUUUUUACCAAAACUAGUAAAUUUUAUCUUAAUCAUCUAGGUUAUUGCGUUAAUCUCCCUAGGAAUACGUGUAUCCAGAAUGAACCUCACACGGAGAUCACUCUCACAUAGAGUUGAAUUACACUGUCGCUCAGUGCGCACUGUAAUUUGGCUACAGAUUAGACCUCAACAAAUGGGUUUGGGCCCGUGGGCUACCCGUGAAACCUAGAGUCUGCACAAUAUUCAUGCCUUAUUUUUUUAUCCCAUUUAAAAAGUGGGCUUUUUAGCCCACCCCGCAUAACCCGUGUGUUAAAUGGGUUUUACCCGCAGGUCCCAUAGUUAUUUUAAUCUCUAUUAAAAAAAAAGGUGUGUGGUUUAGCAAAAACUAAGGGUGAUUUAGCAAAAUAGAAACCCCUAAGGCCCAACUCUAAUUCACACACAUACCUAAAUGGCUAAACUACACCUAAAUCCCUAAUUUUGGCGCACUCACUACUUAGACAAAACCUCUACCAUGCAAACUCCUCUCCUUGCACAGUCAACAACUUGCAACAAGUCACCACGCCGGUGUCGCCACAGCUCCUCCACGGGCGCAACUAGUCACUCCUCCCUCGGAUUCCUCUUUCUUGCACUCACACUCCUCCUCCACACAGCUCGCAGUCUCGCAGCACGAUAGCGGUCUCCUUCAUAGUCUCGCAGCAUGGCAGUGGUCUCCCUAGUAGUCUUGCAACAUGACAAUAGUCUCCUCUCUCGGACUCCUUUCUCUCGCAUUCACAUUUUAUGAUUAUUUUUUUUGUGAAUGCGAGCUACCCGAAAACCCCAUGGGUUAUGUGGGGCGGGGGCGGGUUCAAAAAACUGAUACCAUUCAGAAAACGGGCUUCGCCAGUUGCGGGUUUUGUGGGUGCGGAUUUGGCAAGACGGGCUUACCCACAUGCCCAACUCUACAACAGAUGGAAUUUUGGUUCAGGAAAUUUCCAAAAUUUUUGCCAACUAAAUAAUUAAUUGUUUAAACUAAAAAUAAAUGCAACUAACACUAAAAUUAUAACUUAAUAUCAUGCAUAGAAUAAAUUAAAUCACAUAGGCAUAUAAUAAAAUUACACAGUGCAAAAUUUCCACUGUCUAGUUCUUAACAAUGCAAUUUUACAUAUGUAGAAAAAUGAAUUAAGAAGGGAAUUUCAGGGUGUUACAUCUAGCUAACUGCUUUCUAGGUUUUCUAGGAUAUCUUUGGGAGAUCCUUAGCACCUAAUUGAUGUUCAUCACAUGUUUUAAAUUUAUUAGGCACUUUUAGAAUUAUGAAAUUUUAGGUAAAUCCAUAAAUAAUCUUUGCCAAAAUUUAGAGUUGUUAAUUUUGAUCAAUUUAGCACAUUCAAGUUAAUUCAUUAUAGAUUAAAAUAUUUUUGAAUUAUAUUAGGUUGGUCUAAUUUAGGGGAGGUCUAUUCACACUUAUUUCCUUUCUUUCACACCACCAAAUUUUUUUAUUCUCCCACCCCCUCCCAUUUCCUUUAAACCCCUUACUUUAUUCGUCUCCUCUUACAUCCACCUCUAACCCAAACCUUUUCUUCAUCACCACCCUUCACUGUCUCUCUCUUUAGCUUCUCACCCCACACUCUCCUUUUUUUGCUUCACAUGCAAUGUUAUUAUUAGAGAUAGGUGGAGCAACAUGAAGAAGCUUGAAGAAGUUUUGUCUUUUACAUGCCCAACUUCUUUGAGUGACAUUUGUAUUGAUUGUUGCAUUUUAGUCUCUAUAUUUUUAUAUGUACAUCAUGCAUCAUCAUAUAGAAGAAAGAAGAUUGUUUCUAAAGUUAGAAACUUCUCUAGUGCAUAAAACUCUUUGUUUUAAUUGAUUACACAAAUGUUUGUAGCAUUAUAGACAAAGUCUUAUUUUGGUUUAAUCAAUUACAAGUUAACCGUAAUCAAUUACAUAGUUCAGUUGCGACAAUGAUUGAUUUUUCAUGAGUCUCUGCUUUAAUCGAUUACCAGAUAAUCGUAAUCGAUUACUUCACUCUUAAAAUUGUUCCCAGAAGUGAUCAAGAACGCUUUAAUUGAUUACAUUGUUCUUGAAAUUUUCCAUAGUUUGGGAAGAACACUUUAAUCGAUUGAAAUGAUAAUAUGAUCGAUUACUUUUUCAAAAUAAUCGAUUAGAUUGAAUAUUUAAUCGAUUACAGGCGGUUAUAAUUGUUCUCUAUAAAUAACCAGUUUGUGUUCUCACUUCUGUGCGUGAAAAAAAAAGGUGAAAUGAAACAAAUGAAAGAAAGAGAGAAGAUUAAGUGCUUAAAAAAAGUGUGCGAAUUACAACUUCUAAAUUUUGUUUUUGAGGAUCUCAUGGUAAAAAAAUGAGUUAUGAAAUUCUCUUGAGUUCAAUAAGACACUUAUUCACUCAAGCAAAGGUUCUUGUGUUGAUUGAUCAAGUUGUGUCUCUCCUUGAUUCAGUUUUCAUGUGUUUUACAUAUUGUUAGCAUAUGCAUGAAUUUUUGAAGGCAUGCUAGAAUAGGUUUUUCUAGUUUGGGCUAAGGGUAGGUUUCUCUUAGGCUCUUAUUCACAAAGGACCCUAGGGAUAGGUGCCUUAGUUUCUUUUUCUAGGGUAGGAACUUAUAUUUAUUAUAAUUUCUUGUAAGAAUUCUAUAUGCAUAGUGAAAAUCUAAUUCGCUCUGGAUUAGAUAACUAGAUUAGCUUCUCUAGAGAUAGAGAGUGAACCAGUAUAAAAAUUGGUGUACAUCUUCUCUUGAUCUUAUCUUUCUUUCUCAUUCUAGUCUUCAUCAAUUUACUGAAGGUUAAAGAAAAUAUCUUUUUGAAGAAAGAACUUUAACAAAGAUUUGGUGUUCACAGUGAAAUUAAAUAUUGGUUUAUCAAAAGUUAGUGACACAAUCCUUGGAAAAGAAUUUUUUUUAACUCUGGUUUUUUAAAAUUUGAUUUAGAAACCAAUUCACACCCUUUCUUGGUUUGUGAGCUCCAUCAUCUUUUUCAAUUGUUAUCAAAGCUAUAUCUUGAAAGUUUCUCAAGAUCAAUUUUUUUCUAAAAUGGACACUAAAUAAAUCACUUUCAAAGAGGGUGCAUCUAUUAAUCGACCUCCAUUGUUUAAGGGAGAACAUUUUUCAUUUAGGCAAUAAAGAAUGCAAAUUUUUAUUCAGUCAAUUGAUCUUGGUGCAGGGAAUGCUAUUGUUAAAGGUCCAUUUAUACCAACUAAAGAAGUAAAUGCUGAAUUCGUACCUAAAGAAUAGGAUGAGAUGAAAGAUGAUGAGAAAAGAAAAGUGCAAGAUGAUCAAAAAGCCGAAAACAUUCUAACUUCUGGUUUAUCUUCUGAUGAAUUCUUUUGUACUGCAAGGUGCCAAAAUGCAAAGAAAAUAUGGAAAAUGCUUGAAGUCACUCUUGAAGGCAAUGCAGACAUAAGAAGAGCAAGUAAGCGCACUCUUGUAUACGAAUAUGAAGCUUUAUGAAUGAAGAAUGGAGAAAUCAUUUCAUAACUUCAAACAAGAUUCACCCAUAUUGUCAAUCACCUUCUAGGUCUUGAAAAAAAGUUUGAAGAUGAUGAGCUGAACAUCAAAAUCCUCAACUGUCUUACAAGAACUUGGGAACAAAGGAUCACAAUGAUCAAGGAAUCCAUGGACUUAGCAUCAAUGUUGAUGGAAGCUCUCUUUGGAAAAUUGCUUGCAUAUGAACAUGAGUUGAUUCAACAAUCUCAUGCAGAAGAAACAAAAAAGAAAAGGAAUUGCACUCAAGGUUAAUUCUUCAAAGGAAGUCUGCAAAGAAAGUUCUAGUGAUGACAAAGAUGCAGAGAAUUUAAGCUUGAUGGUAAAUAAGUUUGGAAAAUUUCUCAAAAGAUCCAAAGACAGAAAAUUCUCUAAACCUUCAAAGAAGAUAGAAAACGACAACAACACCUUCACAUGCUUCAAAUGUGGAAGCAAGGUCACAUCAAAUCUAAAUGUCCUAUUUACCUUAGAAAACAACUUGUUGAAAAGAAAGGAAAGAAGGAAGAAAAAUAUAGAAAGGCCUACAUAGCUUGGGAAGACAAUGCAUCUGCAUCCUUCGACUGUUCUAGUGAAGAAGAUAUUGCAAAUGUGUGCUUGAUGGCAAAUUCAAUGGAUGACUCCUCAACCAUUGAAGAAACUGAGGUAAACUUUGAAUUUGAAGAAGUUUUGGAAGCAUUUAAUGAAAUGCAUGGUGAAGUGCAAAGGCAUGUUGUUUCAAACAAUAAGCUGAGAAGUGAUCUAAAACUGCAUAUCACUAAAUUGGCUUCAACACAAAGUGAGCAGGAUAAAUUGAGACAAGAAAAUGAAAAACUUUUUUCAAGCUAUAAAGUCACUGGUUGUGUUUGUGCAUCUACUUCUCUUAAUAUGGAUGAUUACAAAUCUUUGCAAAUUGAGUUUGAAAAAUUCAAAAAGAAUCACUAUGUAGAAUGUAUGAAGGUUUAAACUAAGCUUUCCUAUCUUAAAGAUCUGUUUAGCAAAAUGAACAAAGGAAAAAGUGUUAUGAGUCACUUUCUCAAUGUGCAAAAGCAUACUAACGAUAAGACUGGUUUAGGGUAUAACAAGCAAACUAUUUUUUCUAAGAAAACCAAGUUUGCAUCCUCCAACAAGGUGAACCCAAACAAAGUCUCCACAAAGAAAAACAUAGUGCAAUCUAAGCCUAAAGCAAAAACUUGUCAUUAUUGCAUGAAAAGAGGACAUACAUUGAUGCAAUCCUCCAAAGGAGGGGACCCAUCACCAGAGCCAUGGCUAUGAGACUCCAAGAAGAUUGAGCCAUAGAUGCAGGAGAAGGCCCUAGGAUUUUCAUAAGCCUUAGGGUAGAUUUUGGGCCCAUGGGCUAAGUAUGAGCCCACUUAUCUUUGUACAUAUUAGAUUAGGGUUUCAUUAUUUUUGGGCCUUGUAUUUAGGGAUCCAUAUUUUAGGGAGGGUACCCUAGUAAUGUAGAACUUUUCAGCCUUUGAAUUUUAGGGCACCUAGACUAUUUUUUUUGUAUUAGGGAUAGUUUUGUAAUUUCCUAUGCAUUAAGUGUACUAUUUGAUAUUUGUGUUGGGAGACAAAUUUAAUUGAAUUGGGAGAAGCCCAAUCCAAUUAAAUUUCGGACCAGCCUAAGGGGGAGGUGAGCAUUUGCUUGCUACACCCCAUUGUGACAUCAUAUAGUCACACUUUGUGCAUGUCCUUCAUGCUUUACAUGCUUCAAGACACCUAAGCACGCUUAACGGAGAAUCUUGGACUUGAUCUUUGAUUAGUGGGCUGAACCAUAGCUGAAAUUCACUAAUAAUAAUUAGUGAAAUUUUGGCUCCAAAUUUGGCUCCACAAAUUCAAAUUCAACUUUAAGUGAAAUUUGAAUAGAAAUUCAAUUUUCCCUCUAAUUUUGUGUGAAACUUAGGCUUUAAAUAGAGGCCUUGUGUGUGCAUUUUUUUUCAACUUUUAUCAUUUGAGAAAUUAGACUUCAAUGUUUAGACCUCAUUCUCCCUCUUCUCUCCCUCCAAUUUUGUUUCCCUUUCUUUCCCUCUCCCUCCACUCAUAUUUUCCUACCUUCAAGCUCUUAUCCAUGACUUCCUAUGAUGGUGAGCUUGUUCUUGACUCAUCUUCUCCUUGAAGUGGCAUCUCCAAUCACCUUUCCUCCUUCUCCAUUCUGCUGUCGUUGAUUUUCAAGAAGCAAAGGACUCCAUUGUCGAAGAAGAUCCAAGGCCUACAAGCUCUAAGCCCUACAAGCUCUACAUGAAGCUACAUUACACUUCUUAUAAAUGCUAUGUUAGGUGUUAGUCGUCUUUUACGACUAACUUUUGUUUAGAAAAGUUUUCAAAAAUGUAUAUAUUUCUCCCAAUUUAUGGUUCUUUUUGGUAGGAUUGUAAUUAUUUCUUGUUAGUUUUUAUAUUUGCUCAAUAGAAGCUUUCCAUAUGAAUUUAAUGUAAAUUUCACUUCAAUUCCAGGUAAAAAGGAGAAAAAUUUGAAGGUGCAAAAGCUGUAGUCUCGCUAAGCCUGGACCGUGCGCUUAGCGAGACUCAACCGCUAAGCGAGACAUCAGUCGCUUAGCGAGUGAGAUGAAUAUUGAAGAGAAUCUAUCAUGUCAUCACACGCUCAGCGGGUCAUCAGCUUGUUCAGCGAGAAGAUUGUCUCUUUUGCGCUUAGCGCGAAAAUGGCGCUAAGCCAAAUUUCACUUACUCGCGCGAAAAUGACGCUAAGUGCGCCUUCACGGACAAAAAUCCCUUUUUAAGCCUGAAUUGUAGAGAAUGAAAAAAGAGAGGUCUGAAUAGACUAUGUGAGCCUAGUGCUGAACGAAGAACAGAGGAAAAGUUGAGCAAGGAAGAAAAAGGCCCUAACUUUUAGGUAGAUUUUAGGUUUAGGAGUGAUUCCUAGGUUCCUAGAGGUGGAGGAGACAUCCCUACUGCUUUGUAAUCUGGUAUUUUCUCUAAAACCCUUCUCCUAUUUGUGAAAGGUACUCCCUGGUAAUGGAGGGCUAGAAUCCUUUGUUGGGAAAUUCCACUAAGUGCUUGAUGUAAAUAUUAUUACUAUCUAUUUGAAGUUGUUUUUAUGUAUUCAAUAUUUCUAUCUGUGCUUAUGUUAUGCAUGCUUGUGACUUGAUCACCCAUUUAUGUGUAAGGUUAGGAGCUUUAGCAUUGGAAAAUGUAUUGCAUCCUUAAAACUGGAUAGGGUAGGGCUAGGUUAUCGAAUUGCUUGACACAGAGUGCGGUAAUUUAGUUUUUAUCAUGUUGUAAUUGUAAUUUUGUUCGGUUAGGCUAAGUUCAACAAGAGACAUCUGAGAACAAAGUUUAAUUUGAAGUAGGCUAAACUCGCGAGACAUCGGUGUUUGGUAUUUGUGCCUUCAGCAUAGAACACAAAAAUAAUUUCAAGUAGAGAAAAACCCUAAUUGCAUUAAGUAUCUCAGUAGAAGGACCCAACACUUUUACAUAUCUGUUUUCACACUCACUUGCUCACAAUUAUUGCUUUUACUUAGAAUAGAAUUACUUCUGUUUUUACUUCAUGAUAAUCAAUUCUUUACGCAAAUUCCUAUUUACUGAAUGAUGCUUUUCCAAGUAAAACAAGUUCCCUGAGUUUGAUACUUGGUUCACACCGUUUUAAUUAUUUACUUGACAACCCGGUGCACUUGCCGAUAAGAUUUCACAUCAACAAAAACAAGUAGUACCAGGAUGCAAAUAGUAGGAGAUUUCACGUUCCUAGAGGCAAAUGUGUCUGGAUUCCUAAAGAUUUAAUUAUGGAAAUUAACCCUAUUGGACCUAACCUUAAUUGGAUACCAACUUUCUCUAAUUGAUUUUGUCUUGAAGGUGUGCCUAAAAUCAAGGGACUCGCUAUGGUACUUGGAUAGUGGUUGCUCUAGGCACAUGAUGGGUGACAAGUCCAAACUUACUGAAUUUGUGUCAAAGGAAGGAGGAUAUGUCACUUUUGGAGACAAUAAUAAAGGAAAAAUUAUGGGAGAAGGAAACAUUGGAAAUCAACAUAAGACACAAAUAAAAAAUGUUCUAUAUGUUAAUGGACCUAAGCACAAUCUCUUAAGCAUUAGUCAACUAUGUGACAAAGGAUUCAAAAUUUAAUUCAACAAGAAUUGUUGUCUCAUUUGUGAAGCCAUUUCUGGUGAGGUUGUGCACUUAGGUAAUAAUAGGUAAUAUCUAAAUAUUGAAUAUUGAAUAUGCAUCAUUUCAUUAACUUAGUUGCUUGGUAAGUAAGAUUGAUGACUCUUGGUUAUGGCAUUGUAGGGCUGCACAUAUAAACAUGCAUCAUCUCAAUCAUCUAGUUAAAAAGGACUUAGUAAUUGGUAUUCCAAAACUCAAGUUUGAGAAAAAAAAUUGUGUGAAGCAUGUCAAAAAGGGAAACAAGUUAAAAAUUCUUUUCAAAGUAAAAACCUUGUUUCUACUUCAAGAUCCCUUGAACUACUUCACAUAGAUUUAUUUGGACCUUCAAGAACUAUGAGUUUAGGUGGCAAUUACUAUGGUUUAGUAAUUGUAGAUGAUUAUUCAAGGUUCACUUGGACUUUGUUUAUUAAAACCAAAAAUGAAGCUUUUGAUGCUUUUCACAAACUUGCCAAGGUUAUUCAAAAUGAAAAAGGUCUUAACUAUAAGUGAUCAUGGAGGUGAAUUUCAAAAUUAGUUUUUUUUUUUGGAAAAUUUUUGUUAUGAAAAUGGAAUUCACCACACUUUUCUGCCCCAAGAACACCUCAACAAAACGGGGUUGUGGAGAGAAAAAAAUAGAUCCCUUGAAGAAGGAGCUAGAACUCUUCUAAAUGAAACAAAGCUACCAAAGUACUUUUAGGUUGAUGUUGUGAGUACUAUUUGCUAUACUUUAAAUAGGGUAUUGAUAAGACCUAUUCUAAAGAAAACCCCUUAUGAACUUUACAAAGGAAGAAAACCAAAUAUAUCUCAUUUAAGGGUCUUUGGUUGUAAAUGUUUUGUUUUAAAUAAUGGUAAAAAACCUCUUGACAAAUUUGAUGCAAAAACGGAUGAGGCUAUUUUUCUUGGUUACUCAUUGCAAAGCAAAGCAUGUAGAGUGUUUAAUAGGAGAACUUUAUGUGUAGAAGAAUCUAUUCAUGUUGUGUGUGAUGAAACUAAUUCUAUUAUUCAAGAAAAUUCUUUGGAAGAUGAAGAUGCAGGUGUUUAGUAUAAGGAUUCUGCUCUUGAAGAUGAAACCAAAGUUGAAAAGCUUGAACAAAGCAAUGAAGUCACUGCCACACCUCCUAAAGACCUCCUUAGAGAAUGGAGAACUCAAAAAGACAUGUCCUUGGACAACAUUAUUGGAGAAAUAUCAUAGGGAGCUUCUACUCACUCUAGACUCAGGAUUUUAUGCAAUAACAUGGUUUUUGUUUCUCAAAUUGAACCAGGAAACAUACAUGAAGCCUUGUACGAUGAAUACUGGUUGAUGGCUAUGCAUGAAGAGCUAAAUCAAUUUAAAAGGAAUAAAGUGUGGGUGUUUCGAAACCUACCUCUCACAAGUCAAUCGAAACCAAAUGGGUGUUUCAAAACAAAUUUGAUGAAUCAGGCAUCAUAGUAAGGAACAUGGCCAUAUUGGUUGCAAAAGGAUACUACCAAGAGGAAGGCAUUGACUAUGAUGAAACCUAUACACCUGUUGCAAGGUUAGAAGCCAUUAGGCUUCUGCUUGCUUUUGCAUAUAUUAAGGAUUUCAUAUUAUUCCAAAUGGAUGUGAAGAAUGUUUUUCUCAAUGGAUACAUUGAAGAAGAGAUAUAUGUAGACCAACCUCCAGGUUUUUUCGAUUACGAACAUCUUAAUCAUGAUUAUAAGCUAAAAAAGGCUAUGUAUGGUUUGAAACAAACACUUAGAUCUUGGUAUGAGAGAUUGAGCAAUUUCUUAAUUGUGCAAUCUUUUGUAAGAGGUCAAGUUGACAAAAUAUUGUUUAUCAAGAGAUCAAAAAAUAAGUUGUUAGUUGUACAAAUCUAUGUUGAUGAUAUAAUUUUUGGUGCUACUAAUGAAAUUUUGUGUAAGGAAUUUUCCAAUUCUAUGCAGAAAGAAUUUGAGAUGUCUAUGAUGGGGGAGUUGAACUUCUUCCUUGGACUUCAAGUCAAGCAAAUGAAAAAAGGAACCUUCCUAUGUCAAACCAAAUAUUGUACAUAACUAAUUAAGAAAUUUGGAAUGGAAAAGUACAAAGAAGCAUCAACUCCAAUGGCAACAUCAACUUAUCUUGACUUAGAUGAAAAAGGUGAAUCAGUGGAUGAGUCAAGGUAUAAAGGUAUAAUUGGUUCACUUCUUUACUUAACUGCAAGUCAACCAUAUAUUAUGCUUAGUGUUUUCUUGUGUACAAGGUAUCAAGCUAAUCCUAAGGAAUUUCACUUAACAUCUAUUAAAAGGAUCAUUACUAGAUAGGAAAAGCACAAGUGGGACAUGCCAUCUAUUAGAAAGCUCUCUUGUAUCUUGGAAUUGCAAGAAACAAGCUUGUGUAGCACUAUUCACCGCGGAAGCAAAAUAUUUUGCAACUGAAAGUCAUUGCGCUCAAAGUCUCUAGAUGAAACAAUAACUUGGAGACUUUAGAGUAAUCCUUGAUCGCAUUCCCUUGAAAUGUGACAACACAAUUGCUAUUAAUCUGUCUAUAAAUCUUGUCAUGCAUACUAGAACCAAACAUGUAGAGAUAAGAUAUCUUUUUCUUAGAGAUCAUAUAUCAAAGGGUGAUUGCUACAUUAAGCUUAUUGAUUGUGAACAUCAACUAGCUGACAUCUUCACUAAACCUCUAGCUAGAGAUAGGUUCUUCUUCAUUAGGAAUGAACUAGGCAUCUUAGAUGGAUCUAGCAUUGAAUGAUGUUAAGCUUAGUACAUGUAGCUUGUUAUAUAUGCUUUCUAUGUCUAUUAAUUUUCUUUAAUGUCUUAGUAUGUUGAAAUGUUGAUGUGUAGUUCAUUUUUUUUCUCUAAAAAUUCAUGUUUUACUCUAUCAAUUCGUGUUUUUCACUAUUUUAAUCGAUUACUCUCUCGUGUUAAUCGAUUACACUAUGUUGUUGUGUGUUUAUUAGUUUGUGAAACUUUCUAUUUUAAUCGAUUACCCCAUGGCUUAAUUGAUUACCAUUUAUGCAUUUGUGGUGUUAUGGUUCAAAAUUAUAUGUUUUAAUUGAUUACUGCAUCAUUUUAAUCGAUUACAUGUUGGGCUUAAAGCUUUGUUUUGGCAUUUUGUUCUAUUUUAAUUGAUAGCUGCUUCAUGUUAAUUGAUUACAUGUCGUGGUUUAUGGUUUCUUUUGGCUUUGUGUUCUAUUUUAAUUGAUUACCUUACAUUUUAAAUGAUUUUAAAGGCCUCAGGGGGAGUUUUUCUGGCAUAUUUAAUUGAUUAUGCCUACAUUUUAAUUGAUUACAUAUAUUAGCUUUUGGUUUUUGAGUGAAAAUGAUGGCCAACUUAAUUGAUUACUAUGUUAUUUUAAUCGAUUACUUGCAUGUCUUUUGUGUGUAAUCUGUUACAUGUCUUCAUCUUCACCUCAUCAACCAUAAUUAUUUCUGCAUUUACUCCCGCCACCCACCUCAGCCAACCAAAAUGACUCAACCUCUUUAUAAAAGCCAACCCAAACCUAUGCACAAAUCACACCAACACCUCCUCUAACACCCUUUUCUAAAACCAAUCAUCUUCUACUCUCAAACCCUCUGUCUCUUCAAGAUGGCAAGCAAUCCCUUAAGAGCUUAGAAGAAAGCAAAAACUUCUUAGAGGAAGCAAGGCGAAUGAUCUCAGGCUGCUAUCAAUCGCUUGGACACAUGGUUCAUAGAUAAAAGCAAGAAGAAUGACUACAAGAUGAUCUAUGCUGCAAAAAACAUGAGGAUCCUCAAGUAUUUGGACUUGGAAUGGUUCUUUUAGCAAGGGUUCAACUUUCUUAAUCUGUUGGAAGCAGAGGGAUUGUCAAAGCUAGUGUAGAUGAAAGGAACCUUCUAUCCAGAGUUAGUCAUGGUUUUCUACACUUGUGCAAGUGUUGACCUUGAAGGUAACCUCUUAUCUACUGUUAAUGGAGUAGAAAUGGUCAUUGGUGUUGUUGUGUGGAAGGAAGUAGCCGGUCUGGACAUGGGUGGAGUCCGCAAGUUCGAUGAAACGACUUAUGGGUACAAUGCAAACCUAUAUGGGAAUGCUUCUUAACCUAGCAAGGAACUUGAGGAAUCGCUUAGGAGUUGGUGGACUGAUUGCAGAGGACAUAAUGUUAGUUUACCUCAUUACCUACAUUCUCACUUCGAGGUCAAGUAAUCAUGCUCAGGUAACAGAUGAUGACCUGCAAAUAGUUGAUGGUAUGAAAUAAGGUAUCAAGAUGAACUGGGUACUGCCGAUUAAAGACAUUAUGUUGAAGAGUUGUCUUCUGAUAGAUUAUGAAUUUCCUUAUGUUGUACUUGCCUCAAGAUUCAUUGACUACUUCAAUGUUGAUGUCUCUAAUGAUAUUAUGGAUUUUACCAAAGCAUUCAAUGAGAUUAUCGAAAGAUGUUGAAGCUAAAGCUCCACAAAAGCCUGCACAUCAGUGGAGUUCUUUUCAGUCAUUCAUGAUUAAGAAGAUGAAUGUUAUGCUUCACCUCCAUCAAUAGCACUCAACUGAAGUUCAUAGUUCAUUAGAAAACAUAACUACCUAAUUGGAAAACAUAGAAACUAGGUUGAUCCUUAGCAACCUCCUUAACCCUGACGAGGACGGAGCUUAGUUGUGUUCUAAGUGCUUGUUUUUGCUGUUUGAUUGUCCUUUCUAUUAGAUUUCAAUCAGGUCUUUACAUCUUGAAUAAAUUACUAUGAUGUUUGAUUAAGUUGUAAUUGUUAUUGAAUGAAUGAAAUGCUAUGUUAUUUUCCCAGUUCACAAAAUGUGUUUGUCUAUUUAUUUUAUGAAUAGUUGUGACUUUUUGUCCUUGUUAUGCCAAAAAGGGGAGAAAAUUGCAUUAGCAUCGCAUUAGGAAAGAUUAGUGCACUGCAUACAUACAUUUAUAUACAACUCUAUCUAAUGAUGAUGAUGAUAUGAAUUGACACUUCUCUUAGUGCUCAUAAACUUUUAGGUUUUCUAAGAAAAGUCUCUACUCUCAAGGCUCUCCAAAUGCACUCAAAUGGCUAUUCAAGUUUGGCAUCAUCAAAGCCAUGAAGGGGAAGAUUGUUAGAGAUUGAGGGAGCAACAUGAAGAAGCUUGAAGAACUUUUGUCUUUUACAUGCCCAACUUCUUUGAGUGACAUUUGUAUUGAUUGCUAUUUUGUUUGUUGCAUUUUAGUCUCUAUAUUUUCAUAUGUACAUCAUGCAUCAUCAUAUAGAGGAAAAAAGACUGCUUCUAAAGUUAGAAACUUUUUUUGUGCAUAAAACUCUCUAUCUUAAUCGAUUACAAGGCUGAUCAUAAUUGAUUACACAAGUGUUUGUAGCAUUACAGAGAAAGUCUCGUUUCGAUUUAAUUGAUUACUAGUUAACCGUAAUUGAUUACACAGUUUAGUUGAGACAAUGACUGGUUUUUCAUAAGUCUUUACUUUAAUCGAUUACUAGAUAAUCGUAAUCUAUUACUUCGCUCUUAAAAGUGUCCCCAUAAGUAAUCAAGAACACUUUAAUUGAUUACAUCAAGAAUCUAAUUGAUUACAUUAUUUUUGAAGUUUUCCAGAAUUUGGAAAGAACACUUUAAUCGAUUGAAAUGAUAAUAUAAUCAAUUACUUCUUCAAAAUAAUCGAUUAGAUUGAAUAUUUAAUUGAUUACAAGCAGUUAUUAUUGUUUUCUCUAUAAAUAACCAGCUUGUGUUCUCACUUCUGUGCGCAAAAUAAAAGGUGAAAUGAAAUAAGUGAAAGAAAGAGAGAAGAUUAAGUGCUUAGAAAAAGUGUGCGACUCACAACUUCUAAAUUUUGCUUUUGAAGAUAUCAUGGUAAAAAAUAAGUUAUGAAUUUCUCUUGAGUUCAAGAAGACACUCAUUCACUCAAGCAAAGGUUCUUGCGUUGAUUGAUCAGGUUGUGUUUCUCCUUGAUUCAAUUUUCGUGUGUUUUACAUAUUAUUAACAUAUGCAUGAAUUUCUGAAGGCAUGCUAGAAUAGGUUUUUCUAGUUUGGGCUAAGGCUAGGUUUCUCUUAGGCUCUUAUUUUCAAAGGACCCUAGGGUUGGGUGCCUUAGUCUCUUUUUCUAGGGUAGGAACUGAGAUUGAUUGUGAUUUGCUUGUAAGAAUUCUAUAUGCAUAGUGAAAAUCUAAUUCACUUUGGAUUAGAUAACUGGAUUAGCUUCUCUAGAGAUAGAGAGUGAACCAAUAUAAAAAUUGGUGUACAUCUUCUCUUGAUCUUAUCUUUCUUUCUUAUUCUAGUCUUAAUCAAUUUAUUGAAGGUUAAAGAAAAUACCUUUUUGAAGAAAGAACUUUAACAAAGAUUUGGUGUUAAGGAUGAAAUUAAAUAUAGGUUUAUCAAAAGUUUGGGAUACGAUCCUUGGAAAAGAAGUUGUUUUUUUAAACUUUGGUUUCUUAAAUUUGAUUUAGAAACCAAUUCAUCCUCUCUCUUGGUUUAUGAGUUUCAUCAUCUUUUUUCAGUCGUGUUUUUCAUAAUUGUUUUACAAGUUGCAAGAGGAACUAAAUUUAAUUUAAGUGUUUAUAAUUAAUUAUUAUGAGAUGAUGAUGUGGUGCUUGUAUGUAUGAUUAUGAUUAUGUAUACGGAAAAUGUUGUUUUAAGUGUAAAUAAUAAGUUUUAGAAUGUUUGGGCUAAGAUGCAUGUGUCUUGGGUGAUGAAAAUAGAGUGGGUAAGUUUAGGAAGUGACAAGCUGUGAAUAGAAAGAAAAGGAAGAGUCAUAUAAUCAAUUUUAUUGAUUCAAAAAGAACCACACAAACACUCUCAUUUUAGUCUUUUUUUUCCUCUCCAAGCAAACCCUUUAUUGGAGAGCUUGAGACCUUGUUUUCUAUGCUCAAGGGAUAUUGUUGUUGUUGUUUCCUUUUGUUUGUUGGCUAGCUCUAAUGGUAAGGAAUCCUUCUCUUUCUCCUUUUUUUUUCAUUUUUGUUUUUCUUCAAAUAGCACCUUUAGGAGCUCAUAAAAGUACUCAUUUUUAAGGUUUUGAUGUUGUUUCUAUUGAUUUUCGGGGUUUGGAUGGUGUGAGUGAUGUGGUGCUACUAUGGAGUUGGUGAAAGCCCUCAUCUUGGACCCCAAGUUUCUUCCUUUCUCCUUCUCAAAGCAAACUCCUUGUUUCAAGAUUUAACAGAAGCUUUAAAUAUGAGUUUAAUGUUGUUUGAUGUGUAUCUUUACUCUAAAUUGAUGUUUUUGGACUUUGAAUCCCAAUAACAUUGUUAUUUUGAAGUGUUGAAUUGAUUAGGUGACCCUUGGAACAAUUUUGAAGGUAUUUUCGAAUUUCUAUGUAGCCUCUAUAAGGUCAUGCUUAAGCACUUUUUUUGGGGCCGCUUAAGAACGACCAAACAGAAAGGAAAAUCCCCUUGAUGAGGCACACUUAAGCACACCAUUUUUGUGGACGCUUAAGAACGACACUGAUGUCUAUGCAUAUGUGAAGGGAACUUAAGCAUACUUUUUUUGGGCUGCUUAAGCACGACUUAUGAUGCAUGCCAUGCAACUAGAAACUUGUUAAAAAUGAUAGGUUUUUAGAUCUUUUUGAUAUGUAAUCACUCCUAUGAUAUUUUAUGAUGUUCUAUGAAUGCUUUCACAAUAUGUUAUUGUCUUUAACAUGUUUCUUUUAUAAAAAUAAUGAAUUUUUGGAAAUAUCAUGAUGGUAUUGAAUCUUGAUGGUGAAUAAUGAUAAGGUGAUUAGUAAGUGUUUAUGGUGGCGAACGCCUUGCUUGGCUUGUGGAUCAUUGGUGGGUUCAUAAGUGAUAAUGAUGGUGAUGAAAGAAUGUUGUAUUCAUUGUUGAAGAUUAUUGAUGAGGUGAUUCUUGAUUGUGAAAUCGUGAUGUUAUGCGAUGCAUGGUUAUUGAAUGAUUACUUGAAUUGUGUUGUCAUAAUGACAUUAUAUAUGAGUAGACACAUAAUUUGAGGGUGCUAAGAAGGCUCUCAACCUAGUGUUAGAGGUUGUUAGUGGUGGCUAACAAUGAAAUGACCUAUAGAAUGGAUGGAUGAGCGCAUUCAUAAAUAGGUUAAGGUUGUUGCAAGCAUUAUCGGAGGUAAACCACUAUCCACACUCAUCCAUUUUCGACAAUUGUUAUUGAGAAUGAUGUGUUACUUGAUAAAUUGUAUUAGUACAUGGUUGUUGGAAAAGUGAAAGAAUUCUAUAUCUCUUUUAAACAUAGUGAUCUUUUAUUUCUCUUAUAUAUGUUGAUUCUUUUAAAAUGAGUUUACCCUUGCAUUUUGUGUUGAAUUAUGAUGAUCAUCAUUGGACACAAUAGCAUAUUAUGAUGUAGCUUUUGAGGAGCAUGUCACUCGUGGUUGAUAUGGACUUGGUGGUGGACUUAUAGACGAGAUUUGACCGUUGGUCUUUUAUUUAUGCUUUUUCUUAGUUGGGACCAACAUAGGAUUUAGAUAUAUUCAUGGAUCUAUGUUGCAUUUAUUACCUUAAUGAGCCCUUGAGAUUUGUUUUUGAUGAUGUAGCGCCUUAGUGUAUAAGUAUCUUUAUAUUUUAUGACUUGAGGAUUGAUGUGUCAUUAUUUUCUCCUAUUUCUUAACCCUUUUGUCACCAUUUUAAUUACUGAUUAGCCUUAAUUAUCAAAUUAAUUAUGCAGUUUUAUCAUUUGGGCCUACUUGACUAAUUUUGUGUUUUUAAUUUAAUUUCAGAAGAAUUAUAAGCAAUUGGGUUUGAAUCCGGAAUUGGGCUUGGACUUGAAGAGAGUAGACAAUUUUAUUUUAUCAAAUCUUAUCUUAUCCAGAUUUUAUUUCAUCUAGAUUUUAUUUCGUCCAGAUUUUAUUUCAUCCAAUCUUAUCUUAUCUUGUCCAGAUUUUAUUUUAUUUCGUUUAUGGGCUUUGACUUAAAAUAGAUUUGUAAGCUUUGGGGCUGAGGACCUAUAUAACAGCACCAGGGUUUUAGUUUAGAGGGUUUUUGGAGAGGAGAAUAAUUCUAAGGUUUUAGAAUUCCAGUUUUUACUGUUCAUGCGCACUGUUCACGUAGAAUAAAAUUUGUUUUCUGCAAUUUCAUUUCUGCUUCAAUCUACAAUUUCGUUUUCUACUAAUUAAUGGAAGGCUAAGUCUCCAGCGUUAUUUUCUCUUGAGGAUCAAGCAUAGCUCUCUUUGAGGUUUUGUUAUUACUAUUGAAUUCUGAUAAGUUUUUCCUCUUCACCAAUUACUCUGUAUUUGUUGCUAUUAAUCCAUGCAUGUUUAGUGCUUGAUUAAUUGUCUUUGCGCCUAAUUUAUGUUCAUGCUUAAUGAUCAGUUUUGUUCAUGAUUAAUUGGUGUAUGUGUUGCUUAAUCACAUAAUGACAACCUUAUGUUAAUUUUUGCUUAGUAAUUUAAUUUAGGGUUGGAUUAAGUGGUUGAACUGAUUAAGGAUAAAUUCUCGUAACCUGGGACAAGAGACUUGCUUGUAAAUCAAGGGGAAACAAAAUGUUUUAAUUCUAUUAUUUUUUAAUUCAAAUUUGCUUGCUGUUUAAUUUACAAAAACAAACAACCCCCCCUCCAAUUCGUUACUAUUUUAUUACUAUCUGUUAUGAACGUUUGGUUGACCAUUGCUCGUUGGGAGACGACCUAGGAUCACUUCCUAGAUACUGCAUUUUUAAUGUUUAUUUGAUUCGGGUAUGGCCUCGAUCAAGGAGCUUUUAUGGGUGAUGUUUAUAUGACUUGUUUGCGUUCAUGAUAAAAAAAAUAUAUGCAUUUUCAUUAAUUAAACUAAUUCAAAAGUUUUAAAUAGACUAAAAGUAUAUUUUUCCAUGUUAAAGUCUUAAUGUUCCAUGUAAUGGCAUCCGAGUCAUUAUAUCACACCUACUCUUUCUUUCACUGCUCAGCCAUAUUCUUUUCUCCACAACAUUGUGUUUAUUGCAUUAUUAGUAUUCUCAUUUUUUUUAUUGUUUUUCUUUUGCUUCUCAACGAUUUGACAAAAACCAGUUUUCAUUGUUUGUCUAUACCAAACACAAUAAAAUAUAGUUUUUGUUGUAUAUCAUCGUGCAUAUGAGAUUUUAUUGCGUAUUUAAUGUAUUUGACUUUUAUUUAUAUAAUAUAGUUUCUAUUGUAUAAUGUAAUGUAUAUUUGUGUCCUCUGUUAUGCAAACAUAAAGCAUAAAGAAGAGAAAAAGACAAGUGAUGACUGCUGAGGAAGAGGAACAGUUGGGAAAAAUGGUCAGGAAGAUAACCAUAAAAGCUAAUCCAUAAAUAGAUGCAAAAGUUGAAAUCUUCACUCAAGAAAAGCCCAUUGAAAAAAAAAAGAUGCUGAUGCAGCUAAAGGAACAGUUGCAAUAGUUUGGAAGGAACUAAGGCACAUGGUUUAGAAGGAUAAACUAAGCCUUCUAAAGCUAUAAAAAAAGAAGAAGAUCAAGUUCAAACUAAUGAUAGAUGUAAUAAAUAUUACUUUGAUCUUAAUAUUGCUUCAGAAUAUCUUCUUAAUGAAGCAUUGUUUACAGGUCCCUCACUAUAGAAAGUGUGGGAGUUUGAGAAGAUUGAAGAAUUGAAUCUUCCAGAUGAAGAGCAAAAAAUAUCUUAUCAAGUAGUGGAAUCAAAUUCUAAAAAAGUGGGAGAUAAGGAUGAACUGGGAUCAAUUGCACAACAAUAUGGAGAAGGAUCUCAAACUUGGAUGGAUAUGGACAUAUCUUAACAUGCGCAAAUUUUGAUUCCAGAUGUAGAGGUGGACCUUGGAAUAUCACAUAUUUAGCAACCUUUGGUAUCAUCCUCACUUUAGAAAGGGACAAAUGAAUCAUCUUCUAAUAUGUCACCAAGAGCUUUGUCAAGAAGGAAGGAUAAAACCAAGGAAGCUAUCUUCCUCACUGACCCCCUUCCAAUUAAGAAAGGAGUUAGAAGAAAGACAUUUGUCCAAAAGGAUUAUGAGUUAUUGAAAAAGGAUGAAUUCAAGGCAAGAUCCAAGAAUUAUAGAUAAGUCAAUUUCAUAAUGUUUCUACUCUUUAUGAGACAAUAACUCAAAUGACUAGUAAAUAGUACUAGUUUUUCUACUAGUAUAAUUCUCAAAUUCUUCCAAAUAUGGCUCAAAAUAUGACACAUUUUCCCUUUCAAGAACACCCCAUUCAACCUCUGAAAACUCCACCCAAUUCGAGCUUAACUCAGAAUUCCCCAUUCUCUGAUUGAUCCUUCCUUUUGAUUGAAGAAAAGUAGACUAGAAGUUAUAGAAUGAAUACAUUAGGAGUCAUGUUUAGGAGUAUAAGUAGAAUUUAUGAUAUGUAUUGCAUUUCUUAUGGUGUUUUUAGUAAGAAAUUAUGAUUUUGUCCUUUUUUAUGUACAAUGUACUAAUAUUUUGCUUAAUGGGUGAUAUCUCCUUUAUUAGGAUAUAUUGUUUUUACUAAGUCAUAUAACAAGACAAUAAUUAUAAGAAUGAAGAAACAUGAGAUGAAUGAAGUUUUAACUGAUAAAUGCAAUAGUUUAACUAUGCAUAUGUUGAGGAGGAGUAAGCUUUCAUUUCCUUUAUCUUUACUCCUAAAUUAGGAACUCAAUUUUGUUGAGUGUUUGUUAUCAUAAAAAAGAGGGACAAUGUUGAGAAAAAGUCCCUCCAGAAGCUAAUGUUUUAAUGGUGACAAAUCAUUGUGAAGAAAAAAUGCAAGUGACUGAUGUGUCUCAUCAAUACACAUGGCUUAAGGAUUAUUAGAAGUUGCAUUGCAAGGUGGUUAAUGGUGACAAAUGUGUCUCAUCAAUCAAGAAGCACACAUUAAUGAAAACAUACAUCAGAACUUGGACAACACUAAUCCUAAAGCUGCAAGUUCCUUAUCAUCUUUGAUGGUUUUUAAUCAAAGGAACUUAAUAAGAUAGUUGUCCUAGUCAAAGAACCAACAACCAAGUUGAAAAGAGAUUGUUGCACAAUGCAUUGUAAUAACAAUGCAUCUUAUGAAGACAUGUUGUAGAAACAAUCUCUAAAAGACAUCUCAUAAUUCAAUGUUCAAAAUCACAUGGAAACCAUUGAGACCAACAACUAGUGCUCAAAUAACAUCUAUCACAAUGUAUCCUUUAACAAAUACAUUCAAAAUUACAAGUUGGAUGACAAUAGAGAAGAGCAAAUAUGAAGAAGACAACUUAAUGAGUUGUAGAGGAAAAGGUUGAAUGUGUACAGAACAAAUGAUUGUAGGAACUUGGAUAACUCAUGCAACACCUAAAAGUUGAAUUCGACCUCCAAUAGCCAUAAUAAUGGAUAGCUCAAAGAUCACUCUAUAAAUUGAGCAAAUUCGAUGAAGAAUCUUGCAAUAAAGGAUUUCCUAAAAGAGAGGGUAAGGUCAGGUGAACUCAUGUCCUAAGGAACUUCCUUAGCCAUACCCUAAGGAACUUCAUUCUACCAUAUUCUCAACCACUAUUGUAGUAUCCUCAUCAUAUACAAAUUCAAAUACAGGUGCCAUAGAGUGAUGGCAAUCCCUCAAUCAUAGAUGGACAUGUUCAAAAUGGCUGCAACAUCCAACAAAGUGGGGCCAACCAUGGCUUUUGAAAGCACAAAGCUAUUUAUGGUUGUCGACCAAAAUACUAAUCAACACAUCUCUUGGCGAUUGCAUAUCAACAACUGACAACAUGAUCAUAUCAUGGAUUUCCCCCUCUUUCUAGUCAUUCUUGUGCAUGACCGCCACCCUUUUAAGCCAAGUUUGGUACUUAGGGAGGGGUUUUGGCUUUGUUCAAAAAUUGGAAGGGAAUGUGUGAAUCUCAUAACAAUCGUGAGUAAUAGAAAAGGUAUUUUUUUCAUGAUUGAAGAGUUUGGUGACAAUAUUGUCACUAUUUGCACCUUCCUUCAGGUGACAAGGGCCAAGGAAGAAAUCCUAGUGUACCUCAUUGAAAAUGGUGAGAGUUUCAGGGGUGGAAUAGGGCCUAGGUUCAGGCAAAUAGAUGGAAGCAGCUAGAGUAGGUUAUGCAUUGGUUGUAGACAUGAUUUUGGGGGGUCAAGAGUUUCAAAGAGUGCCUCUAGGAAGAAAACAUGGAGAAUCAACAACUACUGAAACUUUUAAAGGAAAAAUUGGAAAUGACUUUUGGUUGCAAAUGAUACAGAUAGAGAAAUAUUGAAGAUAACUUGGAAUCAUUUUUUGAAAAUCAAAUGUGGUGGUUGGGAAUUGAAUAUACUUGGUCAUCUGAUUUAUUUUUCUAUCGUCGUUUGAGGCAAAUGAUAAGAUUUUGAAUUUCAAACAUCCUAGAAAUAAAGAGGGACAAUUAUGUUAGUACCAAAAAGUUAGCUAAUGAAGAUUGGCCAACCAAUAACAAAUGAUUGACGGGUUUAGCUGAAUUGGUAACGACUAAAUUAGUUGACAAAGUUGGUAGAUGGCAUAAAAGUAAAAGCCAUGUAAAUAACCGUAUUAUUUGAACAUUGGAUGGCUUGGGGUAUGUGGCUAGGAGCGUGUAGAGCAAAAGAUUGUGGUUGUAAACCUAUUAUCAAUUAUCUCCUAGAUUUUACAAAUAUUAUAUUAAGCACUACAACUGAUUGUAAUUUUUUUAUCCACGUAAAUAAGGUUUAUCGCGAUGUAAAAUAGGUCGAGAACCUUCAAAUCAAUCAAAUUAUCUUUUCUAGCUCAAUUUUUUAUGAUUCCUUUAUUUUUUAUGUCAUUUUAUUCGCAUUCAUCCAUCUUAUAGCCUUUACCUUGUCUGUUUACAACUUUCCUUUAUCAUAAUUCAUUUUAGGAGUAGCCUAGCAUAAAAACUUCUUCAUUGACUUCUAGAAAGCUCUUUGGAGUGGACGAAUCCAAUCACGGAACAUAAUCUUUUCCUUGAAUCAAUCACCACAAGAAAUCGUUUGGCGUAAGCCAAAUCAAUGACUAAUUCUAUUUCACACCAAGAAUUUAUGUUCAUAUUAUUGAGAGUGACUGUUAACAAGUUGUUGUUCAAGAUUUGAGGCCUUGAGGGUUAUUUCUAGGAAGGGGGUUGCUUUUUGGGUUGUCAUAGUUGAUGAAAUAAUCAACUGGCUGCUUCUUUGUCACAUUUACUAGGGUAUGUGAUCACUAAGGGCUAGGCUUAGGAUUCAGAGAAGGGUGUCCAUGUGAGGUUUUUAUAGGUGAUGACAUAAUUAGCUUACUUUAUGUAAUUGGUUUACUCAAGUUGCAGUUUGGGACUUGACAUAGGUUGCGAUUAAUCAAAUUAGUACAAAAUUAUUGGUGCACUUUCUUCUGACUUUUACUCUUUAAAUUGUUUUAAUACUUUUAUAAAUAAUUUUGUUGCUUUUAUAAUUAGUGUUAUUACUUUAAUGUACAAAUUGUGUUGGGUUAGGGUUAGGAAUAUAAACUCUCUCUUUAUCAUUAAAUUCAAUAUAAUUGAAUAUAUAUAUAUAUAUAUAUAUAUAUAUAUAUAUAUAUAUUUGAAUAUAACUAAUUAAUUUUUUUAAUAUUCAACAAAAAAGAGGUUGGACACAAAUUUAUUUUGAAACAACUCAAUUUAUCCCUCUCUUGAGUUAUCAAGACAACUUGGUUAACAUUUACUAAUAUAUAUGAAAUUUCAAAAAGUAUACAUUUCAAAUUAAAAUAUUAAAAAAUAAAUUUUAUAGAAAAUAUAAAAACAUAAGUGUUAAAAUAUUUGGAUAAAAAUCUUAAACAAAAAUUUUAUGAAUAUAUAUGAAAUUUCAAAAAAGUGUUAAAAUAUUUGUUUUAAAAAUCUUUUAAAAAAUGUUUAAUUGAUAUAAUAUUUUUUAAUGAUCAUUGAUAAAUUACCUUAUUUAAAAAUUAAAUAUUAAGAAAUUAAAAAAUUCAUUAGAUAAGUAAUUAUAGAACAUGUAGUUUAUUUAAUAUAAAAGUUUAUUAAACACUUGUUAUGAAAUAAAAAGACACAUAACGGUAAAUUUUUAAGAAUAAUAAUUUAAAUAUAAAUAUAAUGCUUAGCUAGCUAUCAUAAUUAUUUUUUAAUCAAAUUUACUUAAAUAUUAAUUAUUACUACCUCUAAUCCCUUUUUUCAUUCUGGAUCAGAGAUCAUGAAUGUUCUUCAGUCUAUUAGGUCAAAGAUUAAUCUAACUUACAAUGCUUAAUACCUCUAAUCUUUUAUAAAUGGUCAUAUUUUUUGUUUUAAUUAUAACAAAAAUAUGAUCACUUUCAAAUGUAUUAAUUGUUAGUCUCCUUUUAUAUCUUUGAUUUAUUGGGAAGUUUACGAAUGAUAAAUCACUCAUUUCCCAUGAGAGUAGAUAUAUCUAAUGAGUUAUUAAUAAUAUAACCAUUCAUCAUUGGUUGGUUGAAAGAAAUUAUCCUUAGAUUAGGAAUAGUGUCAUUAUAUCUAACAACCACUUAAAUCAAUUGUUCCGACCUUAACCUCGUAGAUAUCAUUAGGGUUCCCGUAUCCAAGGUAUUUCUCGCUUAGGUGCUUGAUUGACCCUCAUGGUUUUACCCUUGUAAAAGGCGUCUUAGUGAGUUGAGAGAAGAUAAUGUUUAUAAAUGACCCUUGACCUUGAUUUCUAAGCAAUGUGAGACUUUGUGGCUAUUGGAAAAAGCCCCUCCCUCCCCCCCUAGUCGAGGUUAAGGGACAAGAGUGGCCUAGAUCGUCCUUCUAGCGUCAAUGUUCCGACCUCAAGUCCACAUACAUUGUUAGGAUCCCCAUAUUCGAAGUACUUUCUGCUUAGGUGGUCGGUUGACCGUCAUGAUUUUAUCCUUGUAAAGGUGUACCGGUGGAUUGAUAGGAGAUGGUGUUUAUAAACGAUUUUUUACCUCGACUCUUAAGUAAUGUGAGACUUUGUGGCUACCGAAACACCAAUUAAUUUCAUCUGUAUUUUUAGAAUAAAAUUUAAAUUUAUUCUAAAAUAAUUAACUUAACUAUUUUUUUAUUAGUUUUGAUGAAUUAUAUAUUUUUUUCUUUAUAUAUACAACUAUAGGUAGUAUUUUGUAAUAAAUUUUCAUUUAUUUAAAGAAAAAUUAAUAAGAUUUUUUAAUAUAAAUUAUUUUAUUGCCAAUGCAAUAUAAUGAAACUAAAAGGAAAGAGAGAUUAUUGUCAAUAAUUUCUAAUUACACUUUGAGUAUCACAACUUUCUCAUUGAAGAGAAAGGAAAAGAAAACUUGAAAGAAAGAGAGAUAAGGAGCUUAUGAGUAGAAAGUUAGACUUGCUGUAAUUAUACCAUUACUAAAUAGGUGAUAAGUUAUAGACCAUGUACAUAUAGCACUAGAGUUGAGCCGAGAAGCCACUAGAAACUUGGUACACGACUAUUCAAUCUUAUUUAUUUGAUGAGAAAUUAAGUAAUUUAAUGUAUAACUUUGAGUCUUUAAUUUGAUAAUCUGACCAAUUGUUUUAUUUUUUGUGAACUUGAUGAUUUAGAGAGUUGCUAGUGAAGGACUAAUUUCAAGACAAAUUAGCAUAUUGUAUCUUGCGUUUUCUUAGUAGGGAGUUGGCCUUAUAUACUAUUUUUUGUGACUACUACGAGUAUAUAUAUAUAUAUAUAUAUAUAUAUAUAUAUAUAUAUAUAUAUAUAUAUAUAUAUAUAUAUAUAUAUAUAUAUAUAGUUUUUCAUUUAUGUAAUAUAGGUCAUUUUUGGAUUACUAUUUAACAUUGAUUUUUUUUAAUCAAGUAUCUGAAAAAAAAUUAGUUUCAUUUUAUUACUUGUCAUUAGUCACCUUCCGUUAAAUUAUGACGUGGCAGAUGAAGUGUCACUUCAUUACGCCUUAUCACAAACACCUCAUUAUCACAUCAUCACUUUUAAUAACAUAACAUUGACAUGUCAGUGAUUGAGUGUGAUGCGUGACAUUCCGUUUGUCACGUCAUCACUUAACGGAAGAUGAUUAAUGACAGGUAGUAAAAUGAAAUUGAAAUUUUUUCAGGUAGAUAUUUGACAAAAAAUGAAUUUUUAGGUAGUAAUCAAGAAAAUAUCUAUUUUUCAGGUAUCACAAACUUAAAUUUAUGAUUAUCAUUUUUAUUUUUAUUUUCAAUAAAAUAAUAAAAUUUAUCAUUUUAUCUAAAAUUAGAUUAUUUAUUUUUAUAAAAUUUCUCCUUAUCAUUUGUUAACUAAAACAUUGUUUUUCAAAUUGGUAUAAUUAAGUUUUUCAUACCUAAAAAAUAGACCGUUUCCCGAUUACUACCUAAAAAUUCAUUUUUUGUCAAAUAACUACCUGAAAAAAUUUCAGUUUCAUUUUCUACCCAUCGUUAGUUGCUUUAAUUUUCAUUAAGUGAUGAUGUAGCAGACAAAGUGACACGUCAUCACACCUUGUCAUUGACACGUCAAUAAAGGUGAUGACCUGACAAUGAGAUGUCUGUGACAAGGCGUAAUGAUGUGACACUCAGUCUGUGAUGCCAUCACUUAACGAAAGACGAUUAACAAUAAAUAGUAAAAUAAAACUGAAAAAUUUCAGGUACAUGGGUGAAGAAAAAUGAAUAUUAGGUAAUAAUCUGAAAACAAACUAUAUUACAUAUACGAAAAACUUAAUUAAGCCUUAAUUUAAUGUAUUUCUUAUUUUGAUUGAAGAAUUAUCUUAAAAAAAUAAACAGGAUAUAAUUUCUUAAGUCUAUAUAAAAGUAAAUUACAUAUAUGUUAAUCAAGUUAUUUUAAUUAAUUUUUAGUUUUUUUUGACAAGUUUACAAAUAUUUGAUCAAAUAAAAGUGUAGAGAAAUAAUUUUUUCUUAUUGACUUAUAAGAUUUGCUUUUAAACAUAACUUAAAUUUACGAUUACCAUUUUCAUUUUUAUUUUCAAUAAAGUAAUAAAAUUUAUCAUUUAUCAUUUUAUAUGAAAUUAAAUUAUUUAUUUUGAUAAAACUCCUCGUUAUCAUUUGUUAAGUAAAAGAUUAUUUUUUAGAUUGACUUAAAUAAGUUUUUCAUACUUUGAAAAAUAUGUCAUUUUCAAAUUACUACCUAAAAAUUCAAUUUUUGUCAAAUAUCUACUUAAAAAAAUUUCAGUUUCGUUGUACUACUUGUCGUUAAUUCUCUUCUGUUAAGUGAUAACAUGACAGACAGAGUGUCACAUCAUCACACCUUGUCACUGACACGUCAUUGAAGUUGUUGAUGAGGCAAUGAAUUGUCUGUGACAAGGCGUGAUGAUGUGACAUUCUAUCUAACAUGUCAUCACUUAACGAAAAACAACCAAUGACAUAUAAUAAAACGAAAUUGAAAUUUUUUUCAGUUAUUUGAUUUAAAAAAUAAAUGUUCGAUAGUAAUUUCAAAACGAUUUAUAUUCCAGACAUGAAAAACUUAGUUAAUCAUAUAUAUAUCUGACCUAUAUUCUAGUUAUGAAAAACUUUCAAUUUAAGCCCCAUUUCUUCUUCAUCACAUUUAGAAUAUUUUCUUUAUAUACAUUUUGGUUUAUUUUUGUUUCCGUAUAUUGUUGAUUUUGAAUUCAGGAGAGAAUUGUGCCUGUUAAUUCUUGUAAAGCUAAGUCAUUUAGUAAAUGAUAAAUUUUCUAUAAUAUGUAUGCGUUAUGUGAAAAUUUGUACCUUCAUUCCACCAGUGCAUAAAAGACUUCUAAAAUCGGUUAAAAAUGGCUAGCUUUUAUCUUCAAAACUUUUUUUAAGAGAAAUUAUAAUUUGUUUAGUGCAUGCAUUAAUUAAAUUAUAUUACAGUAAAUGUGAACUUAAUCAUUUUUUGAAUUUAUUACGAUCACACAAAUAUAACAAAAGGAAAAUAUUGAAUCUUAUUUUCGAUCAACACUAGGGGAAAAAUAUGAAAUCAUUUUAUGUUUGUUAUUAAACGAGAUAGUCUUGAAGUUAUUUUUAAAAGUUUCGUGCGAAUGAUCCAAGUGGAGCAUGAAGGAUUUAAUCGAGAGGUAUUGUAGAGAAUACGCGGCGUGAACAUGUUGUUAAUAGAAGUUUGUGUAAAUUUAGAUGAAAUGUAGUCUUACGGUGGGUUCAGACAUAUAUAGGUAAAGUGUUAAUGCGUGCAAGUGUUUUUUGCAGUUUGGGUGGGGGGAGGUUAAUUAUGUGCCUAUGGACAUUUACUUCUUUUUGUAACCCUCUUUCUAAAAUUUGUCACAGCUUGUGCCAAGUGAGUUAUUAAUAAUAAAAUUUCAAUUUUCUGUAAAAGUGUUAUAAAGUUAUUGGUUAAGGAAUUUAAAAUAUAAAUAUUUAUUUGAAAGUGAAAAAUUAUGUUGUUUAUGAUUUUUUUAGCCUUUCCUAUAAUUUAAACAAUAAAUAUUUUUUAAAUUGAUUAAUCAAUGUCCUAAUAAAGACAUUAAUUAAUAAGAGCUUAAAAGAAAACGAGAUAGAAUUGUAGAACCUUUUUCUAUACUACAAGUUAUGGUGAUGACGGUGGAACAAACCACAAUCCCCAAAGCCACCAUCCAUGUUUUAGGGCUAAAAAAGCACCAUGUAAAAUGUAAAUACUGUGCUACAGAAAUCUAAUAAUGGUAAUAAUAAUAACACAACCACUAAGUUGUCCCGUUCAAACGGGGAUUUGUCGGCUUGGUGAGGGUUUCCCACUUGCUCAGUUCUCCACGCUUCAACUUCUCCCUGCUUUCCUUUGCUUCCCUUGUUACAUUCACUAUUAUUUAUUUUAACACCCCCAUAUUAUAUUUGCUUUCUAUUUUUGAUCUUUUUAACAUGGAAGGAUACUCAAUGUUAUUUUUUUUCCAAUAUUUAUGACUAGCAAAGUUGACGUAGUGAUGUGGUUCCUUCCAAUGAGAUGUAGCCGCAUAGAUUGGUCAAACCUACAAUAUAUUAUUACUACGUGUUCUCACUAAUAAUCCCAUUUAAAGCUUUGGGGCUUAGUGGGGAAAGCAAUGAUUAGUGAAUGGAUUUUGACGCCACUAAAGUCCUUUCCCACGAGGAUCAAAACUCGGAGAAUGUUCCAUUGGUGCCCUUCAAAUGGGACCCCUUUCUACCUCCAUUUUCAAUUUUUCAUUACACGCUUAUAAUCCAAUCCCAUUGGUGUGGGAGGAGGAAAUGAUAUGUCUUCUCUUUCAAUUUUCCUUUUAUUGGCUAUGGAAUCAAAUGAAGAUAAUAUAGUUUGGUUUUGGUAUGCGAGAACUAGACCUGUACUUAUCAAUAGGACUUGACGAUACUAAACCAUUAUAUAAAAAAACUAAACAAUUAAUGAAGAAUUUUAUGAACUGUACUUAAUUUAUUUUAUAUUUAUCAACAAUCGAAUUAAUACUAAACUAAUAAACUACCCCUAUUAACUAAACCAUUUUGGAACACAAUUGAUGAUCAACGAUGUAAUCAUGUUAGAAGCAUAUCAUAUAUAAAAACAAUUAUAUAUACAUGGGCUUUUAUAAAGUUAUCGGUAAGUUUGCUAAUUAUUUAUUGAUUAAAAGUACACAACCACAACAUAAAAAUGAUACAAGUACACUAAAAGCCUUUUUUAAGACGAAUAUUCGAAUAUAUGUAUUUUGGUAUGGUCGUGUGGCAAUUGAAAAUGUAAUCAUCAAAGACCUAGUGGAGCACUAUGGACUAUAAAUGACCAAGCUUUGUGACUGAAAAAAAAACGCAAAAAAACAACAUGGGAAUCAUGAGCACACUGAUAGCUUAAAAGGGUUAUACUACUUGAUUGGGGCCAGUACAUCAAUCCAAAACGGAAAAUGCCUUUUUAUGUGAGAUAAUAGGGUUGGUGGACUUGGGAAGCACUGGAUACUUCUAUUUGCUUACUUUCACUUUCAUGUAAGGCAAAGGCCAUGUAACGAAUUAAGUUGUUGACACCCAUGAAUCACCUUCGAUCCUAGAAAAGCACAAAAUGUUAAACAAAUUUCCUCUCCUCUAUUCAAAUAAGGUAUAAUACUUGAAUUGAUUAAAACAAUUAACAUUUCAAUUAUUUAAUUUGCACAAAACAAAUUCAAUUGGACACAUCAUCGGAGUUUGUGUUUACCUAAAUGGUAAAUUUAGGUCCCUGAAACUCAUUAAGAUUAGCAUAGUGGUGUAAAAAUUUAAAUAAUAUGCCUGAAGUUUUAGACUUAUUUCUUAUUUGUACCAGAAACGUACCAUUCAUUGUAAGCUAGGUUUAAAUUUUUUUUAACCGCUGUAGUUUAGUCAUUUUGUGUUUUUAGUUUCUAUAAAAUUAUUUUGAUUAUUUCAUUUUUUGAAAUAUUUUUGUUUGUUUGUGUCCGGGAAUCGAUUUUCCCAGUAAUUCAAGGUUACCUAUUUAGAGCAUAAAAAUGUAUUAUAUCCUUGAUCGACAAGUCUAUUUGGGGAUAUAUAUAUAUAUAUAUAUAUAUAUAUAUAUAUAUAUAUAUAUAUAUAUAUAUAUAUAAGUAUCCAAGGAUAAGAUACAAUCAUAUAAGAAAUAAUCAUAUCUUAUCUAUGUAGAUCACAUAAAUAAAUAAGAUAUAAUUAGACUAAAUUUCCUUGAUUUCAAGAUAUUAGAUAAGAUAAUGACAACCAUCCAACAUACGUUGUGAAUCGGGUCGGUUGGCACUUGACCCACUAGACCAAGUUAUUGGACUCGAUCAUUAGACUCAGCCCAAGGAUGACAGGAUGGUGCAUAGACCUUCCCCAAGCCUCAAGUGCGGUGGCAUGGGGUUGGAAGCAUCAACAUUGUUGACAGGUUUUGCUGCUUUAGCUAUGAUAUAAACGUUUUAGAUUGUUGUUACUGAAGUCAAAAAUCACGAACGGGGUUGAACUUCCUGAGGCGUGACAGUCACUAAUCUAAAAGGUUUAUCUGCGGUGUCUCACGCAAACCUCCCAAGAUACAACAGGAACAUCUUAGCACACACUACUAGAAAAAGGGCUUUUUACGACACUUGAUUUACGACGAUGGUACAAGGAACCGCUUUAGAAAGUGGUGCGGUGACAUUUUUGUAAUUAUUGUGUAACAAAUCACAUUUUACGAUGCACAUUCUAAGGCAGCUAUUGAAAACCGCCUUAGAAUGUUAUGUGUUAUAAAAUUUAUGCCGAUUUUUAGUAAAAAAAACCUUCAUAAUUGUAAAAAUAAAAAAACCAAAACCGCGCACUACUUGCUUUGAACCUCGUGCCUCUUUUGUUCACCUUUCUGCUAGCUUGCUCCUUUCUUUGAACCCUAGCGCGUGUUUGUUCACCUUUCUGCUUGCUCCUUUCUUUGAACCCUAGCGCAUGUUUGUUCACCUUUCUGCUUGCUCCUUUCUUUGACAUUGAACAUUGAACCUCAGCUCUUUGACAUUGAAGCCCUACCCCUUCUUCCAUUGAACUGGACGAGGUCGACUUCAUCCCUCCAACUUCCCGCUUGAAGUUUCGUGAAGAAAGAGAUUGGUUAGUGAGUUACUAACUUUGUUAGGUUAAGCUUAUUUUAAGCUUGUUUUAGGUUAAAUGGUUCGUGUACUAUUGAAGAAAGGUUGUGGGUUCCAUAUAAUUUCUUUUAAUGGUGAUGUUUGCUAAUCGUCGUUGCAGGGAAGACUCGUGCAUGUCAUCGAUGAGUUGUUGGUGAAGAAGUUGAUGCAUUUUUGACUAGGCUGCAAACGAGUCAGUGACUAUUUCUUAUUGAAGCUUUGGUUGACUAGACUAACAAAUUUAUUAUUACUGUUGUUUUUGUGUGAGUUGGACUUUUACUUGUAUUAUGUUAAAAUAUGUUGAUCCUAAAUGAUGUACACUCCACUCAAACAGCUAUUUAGAGUUGUCAAUAAAUAACCAUGCAGAUUUUUAUUCCUAAAAGAUUAUGGAAGAGGUGUGCAGCUCAUGUUCACAUCAGUCAUUUAAUCAAGACUCUAGAAGUGCCAAAAACAUAGGUUAUCAAAGAAUCUGAGCUUUUUGAAUGUCAUCAAAUGAGAAAACACAAAGGAUCAAAGCGUGGAGUUCUUUUAGAAGUUCACUGCUUAAACAAAAUGAAAAAUGGAAUCACUUCUUCUAUUGUGAUGAAUCCACAUGAAAGUAAGAAUAUUAUUCUUCAACGACAAUGCCAUUAUCGAGACAUAUCACAGGCUGCUCCAACCCCUGUGGUGUAUGGCCCUCGAAAGCAAGUAAGAUUAAGGUUAAUUUUUGGUAAAGAUGCCACUGCUUGCACCCUCUUCGUCAUGCACUAAUGACUAUCCUUAUAGUGCAGAAUUUCAACUUCUUGUCCUUGUCAGCAGGAAGUAGGCUAUUGUAUAGUCAUUCUCAUUGUAGGCUUAAAACAAUUACUUUUCUUAAAAAUUCUGUAUCAUGCAUUUUAACGAGUAAAAGGAAUGACUCUAAAUGGUUUUGCUGAAAUUUUGGUUGUUGAUUGAUCCAUCUAACCAACUCACCCAGUAUUAUGUUGGUUUUGCUUCUAAUUUAUAAUUUAAAACUUUUGUAGUAGAUAUUCAAUAGACUCAUACCACCAGUGCUACCUUUUAAUAGAAUUUUUAUUUAGAGUUUUUUGCUAAUAAGAUUGAAUGUGUGAUUAAACAUCAAGCUUGGAGACUACUUAAGAAAUGAACAGAUUUAUCAAUAUAAUCUUAGGAUCAUAGCACAAUUUUCAAAUUCUAAUGAAGCAUACUCUAAUAAUAUGGAAUUCAUCCCCUUUUGACAGGAGACAUGUUGAAGGACAUUGUUGGCAGUGCAUAUUACAUUGCACCCGAGGUCUUAAAAAGAAAAUAUGGACCACAAGUUGACAUUUGGAGUAUUGGUGUCAUCUUAUACAUUCUUCUAUGCGGUGUUACUCUAAUAAUAUGGAAUUCAUCACCUUAUUGAAGCUUUUGAUAUGCAAGAGAUUAUACAGGUUUUACUUAUGGCCAGAUUAAGAUUUGCUUCGUUGCAUGUUAGUAGUUAUAGUCAAAAAGCAAGUUAAUGCCUCAUUGCUUCAAUUAUGAAAUUAUAGAGGUUUUUUUUGUGAACAUUGACUUUGGGUUCUUGCAUUUGAUACUCGAUAUUUUAAUAGGACAAAUAUUUGUGAACAAAAUACUAGUUAAUGUCUGGAAAGAGAGUAAAAAAGAUAUAAAACAUUUGGUGUGAAAAUGCUUCAAUUUUGAAAUUGCUUUCAAAGAUGAUUAUUAACUAAUAACCUAAUAACCGUCUUUGAAUGUCAACAAUCAAAGACGGUUAUUAACUAAUAACUGUCUUUGAAUGUUGAAGCAGACAUAACAUUCAAAGACGGUUAUUAACUAAUAAUCGUCUUUGAAUGAUUCUAACUUUCAAAGAUGAUUAUUAAAAUAAUCGUCGUAAAAAGUAAUUUGGUUUUAACGACGUUAUAUACAACAACGGUUUACAACCGUCGUUAAAAACACUUAUUAACUGUCAUAAAAAAUUCUUUUUCUAAUAGUGAGAGCUAAUGUUACAAAACUCGCAAAGAAAAAUAAUUAUUCCAAGAAUAAAGGGGGAUAAAGCUUAAUAGAAGGGAAGAGAAGCAAGGAAACAAUUGGUCUCAUCUCCUUUCAAAAUCAAGUUAUCAUCAGCCAAAUUUUUUUAUCAUCAAUUAUGAGCCUAUAAUUGUCAUUGUCCCCCUCUUGAUUUCCACUUUUAUUGACAUUAAUAAGAAAUUUGAAUUUCAAAUUUUGAAUUUAAAUGUCAUAACUUUCCAUUUAAUUAAUUUUUUUAAUAAAAAUUCUUUUGAAAUAAAUAUUAAAAUUAGAACAAUACAUAUAUAAAGAAUGAGAAAUAUGUGAAGGUCAAAGUGUACAUAUAAAUUCUCUUUUAGGUAUAGUUCACAUAAAGAGACUGCAUUAAACUUCCUCUACGGUGAGGCUAUGUAGGUUUAUACCGGAACUUUGUUUUGGAACUUAGUAAUAUUACGCUUUUAAUAAUUGGUGAUGGAUGACCAUACAGAUAAAGCGUAUUAAGAUAAGAGAAAAAUCAGUGCUAGUAUAUAAGGACCCCUUAAUAUAGAGUAUAGAAACUGAUCUCUCCCAUUCAGGGCCCCAAAUACGUACCCCUCAUUUAUUUGUCACAGUUUAUCUAGUUUGGUCCCCUCAGACACUCAUAGGAGCCAUUCCUAUCAUAGCCAUAAAUUGCUACUAACCCAAAGAUGCCUGCACUAAAUUUCAUGAUGAGACCGACCUUCUUGCCUUCUUCCCCAUGUUUGAUAGCUCUGUGUAUUUUGGACUUUAAUUUGAGCUUGAACUUGAAGCUUAUAAUUCAUAUGGUCCAGAUACGAGAAUUUUGCAAUGGAUGCACACGAGAAAAGACAGAAAACCCUUGGACACUACUAAAAUUACCAAAAUGCAGAUUUUAAUCGAUAUAAAUUGGAAUGGACAAUUUUUUUAAAGGAAAAAACUUAAACUGUUUGUGUUUCGGACUGGACUUGAAGUCUAAUCCAUCAAAUGGACCAAUUAGGCUAAGUGAUCGACGGAUUAACUCAAAUUGUAAGUGUUGAUUGAAGUUAACCUUCAAAGACUCAUAAUAUAUAAUUAUGAAUAUUAAAUACUACAUCAGUCUUGGAACAACAUCACCUUAUCACUACACAAAGAGUACAAUUGUUUUCAAGAGGCUUUGAGUUUGUACCAGGAAAUUUAAAUAAUCUCAAACUCUUAUAAGUUUAACUAACAUGAAUAUAUAUAGUAUUUAAAAUAUUUAUUGAUUUGAGAGUCAAAAUAUAUAGCUUAUGCAGGUACCCAUUCAUUUUGAUUUCAUAGGGUCUCUGCCUCGCUUAAAAUAUAGAUUAGACAUCAUAAGACCCUAGACUUCAUGCUAAUCAAAAGCUUAUCUUAGUUUAUCUUCACCAAAUUAAGUUCGUCUCCGUCAUUAGUGCACCUCAAAUAAAUUAAUUUUAUACAUUUUUCAUGCACAUUUAUAUAAAACAAGUGCUAGUAUAAGACUCUUCUAUUUAAUACACAAUUUAUUAUUAAUUAAAAUUUAUUAAAAAUUAAAAAAUUAUGAAUAUAAUUUAUUAAAUAAGAAAUAUAUAAGACUCAUAAAAUUUUAUAAUUAUUAAUAAAUUACAGUCAACAGUAAAUAAUAACAAAUGUUAACUAGUGUUACUGGGAUAUUGAUUAUAAAACUAAAACGAAAAAGAUUUUUAUUGGAAUAUACAAAAUUAUUUUAUUCAUGAUUUUUUUUAAUGUCCUCUUCUGAUUUUAUAAUAAUCAAUAACCUAACAAUACUGUUAGUAGGAACCAUAAAAAAUAUGGUCAAAAGUGUUCUAAUAAAUUUCAGGGACAAACCUACUUGUUAGUUGUGUUAUAGUAUAAGAGGGGCGUUAACCCCUAACUUUAUAGGUAUUUAUUUUUAUUUAGAUUGUGUAUGUAAUAAUGUUUAUUUGUCUUUUCUAUUUUUUACAAAAUAUUCUAUUCCUUUUAGACUUUAUUCUAGAGAUCAUAGUAAUUCUACCCUAUUUUUUAAUAAAAUAUUUAAGUGUCAUUUGUUUUUUCUUUGUUUAUAAUCUUUAAUUUUUUUUCCUAUAUGUUGCAUUUUCAAUUAAAUAUCCUUUUUAGCCUUCUCUUUAUAUUGAUUUUGUUAUAACUAAUUUGAGAAAUAAAGCAUAGUUCUUAACAUCUGAAGUUUUCUUUCCAAAAAUUUCAAAGCAUUUGUAAAAUAAAAAACAAUUUUAAAGCAAAUUUAAAAGGGCUUAAUUUUUCUGCAUGUCCCUGAAUGUUUAAGAAAUUUAUAAUUUUUUUUCUUGUUUUAAUUAGAUCCCUAAAUUUGUAUUUGAUUUUUUAAUUAGGUCCAUUAGUGACCCAACUGAUACCUAAUUAAAAAAUAAAUACAAGUAUUCCAUUAGUGAAAGAAAAAUAGUUCCAAGACCUUUUUAAAAUUAACAAAAAGUUCAGGGAUGUAAUUAAAAAAUUAGCAACCUCUACAGACCAGUAUUCUCACAUCUAUGUUUUAUAAACUAAGUAUUCUUAGUCUUAGGUUCUUCAACCAGUAUAGAAUUUUCAAGGAUAACAAUAUUGGCUUCCAGAGUUUUACAGUUUUUUUAAUAGGUCUCUAAACCAUUUUGUACUUAGGCCACUCAUCUUUUUUUAAUUGGGUCCAUGAAUUUAAACUUAUUUUUUAGUUAUGUCCAACAUGAACUUAAUUAAAAGAUUAACACAAGUUCAGAGAUCCAAUUGAAAAAAGUUCAACAAUCUAAUUAAAAAUUGGAUAAAAUAUUAAGGACUCGCAGAAUUGUUAAACCAAUUUAAAACAUAAUUAACAAUACUUUUUCUUAAAAUCUUAUAGUUAGCAUAAAUACCAAUAUUUAUUAUAAUUCAUAAAAGGUUUUGAUCGCAUAUGAAAUUUAUGAUUGAUAUUUAUAAUCUUAGUCUUUGAAAAUAUUUGGUUUAUUUCUAUGUAAUUAAACAUAUUUUAUAUUAUACAUUCUUGAAUUACUUUGAGAAAAAAAAUGUAUGAUUAUAAAUAAUUGGCAUAAUUUUUUUAUUAUAUAUUUAUUAGGUAAACAUAAUUUAAUUUCAUAGCUUCCCUCAAUCAUUUAAAUAUAUGUCCUUUACAAAAAGAGACUAUCUUUACAAAAAAUAAAAUAAAAUCAUUGAAGCAUAUGUGGGAUCGUUCAUUUUUCUUUAUUAUUCUUUUUAUAAGACCCAAAUUAAAAUUUUUACUUGGUUCUUUGUAUAAGAAUCAAUUUAGAGUGUCUCAUUCAAUACUUUUCACUAAAUCACCUUUGAUAUUAAGAGUCGUGUUUUUUAGUUCAAUAUUGUUAGUAAAAUACAUUCAUGAGUUAGGCUCUUUGUGAGUUUAAUUUUGUAUUAAUUGUGUAAAGAGGAUUUGGAAAACUUACUUUGGGUAGUUACAUAUAUAACCAAUAAAAAUUAAAACAAAAAAUAUACUAAUCAUGAGAGAGAUUAAAAGAAUUAAAAUUAAUAAAAAUAUUUUAAAAAAAUUAAUAGGAGUAUGUCUCGUUAGUAAUAAGGAUAAUUAUAGAAAAUAUAUAAAUUGUAGAAAAAUUUAAUACUACUAAUCAAAUCAAUUAAUUAUACUGUACAAAAAAAUAAUUAAUUUGCUUAAUUUUAAUAAUUAAUUAAUUGAGUCUUAUUAAAAAAGCACACGUGACAUCAAUUGAUUUAUUCAUUACUACCAUAUGUGUUUUUAUCAGUUCAUUACUACAAUAUUACAUCACAAAUGACGCGCAGAGCAAACCAUUUCCCUCUGGGAAUAAUUAGAUUUGUGAAUCAUGUGGCUUCAUUAAUGUUUUUAUUUAUUGGAACCACAAGAGUGCUGCUGUUUUGUUAAAACGUCAUGAAGUGGAAGUUCUUGUAAACCGAAAAGUCUUAGUUAUAACAUGAAAAAAAAAAAAAAAACACUGGAAAGAGCAACACACGAAAUAAGACAAUUCUUGACUAGAUAGGGCUUGUGUGCAAAUUGGUGGCCUGUUCGUAAUUUAAAAAAAAAUGAUUUAUUUUAUUUUAGAUAUUGAUUGAUAAUAUAUGUUUUUGGAUUAGUUUAUUUUAAAAAUAACUGUUUGUUUUUAAUAAGUUUCCAAGUGACCAGCUUUUUUUUAAAAAAUAUUAUAUUCUUCUGAUAAAGAUUUGUCAUUAAAUUCUUCAGUUCCGAGGUCAAAUUUGCAUUAGCUAAAGCCUAAAAGGUCAAUAUAUGGAAUGAGAAAAUUAUUAUUAUUCCCCUUAACCCUACUUGUUCAUGAUAGGCUAGCAACUGGAAUUCUAUAUUCUUCAUGAUCUUCAUAUAUCCUUCGAACAUGUAAAAUAAUAAUGGUAAAUCUUUCUUCGGAAAGAGACUGAUUGUUAGUGAUGUUUAUAUGACGGGCAAGGAAUGUUUUAACUUCUACUAGUUCAAGAUAGGGUAUUGAAAUUCUAGAUACAAUUUGGACCAAAUUAAUGUUGGCAAGCGUCCAUAUUAGUGGAUAGACCGAUCUUAAUAAAUAGGAUACAAGUUGGCUGUUCAGACCUAAUUCAAAGCAAUCAAAUUAUAUAUUAAAUAAAAAUUAAGAAAACAUUUUGGUAUAGUUUUUCUCGGUUUUAUUGGCAGUGGACGUGUUGCCUCUUUUUACUACAAUUUUUAUUCUUUUGUUUGGUUGGAUAGAUAUAGAAAGGAAUUAUGAGGAGAUAUAUUCGACAGUAAGGGAGAGGAUGUAAUAUUUCUUUUGUGUUGGGUACCAGAACAGCUUUGUAGUUACCUGGGAUAGGUACCCCUGGUACUUUAUAUCCUCUUUUUGUAAUCCUUUUAUUUCUAAUGAUAAGUAGUCGUUUAAAAAAAAUUAAAAAAAAUUAUAUAUAUUUGAUUUGAUUAUCAAUUUUCCUUAUAUUCUCCUUGUAAUAAUUAGAAGGGUGUGCAACAAAUUCUUAUUUCUCAACUUCUAUUAUAUUCUUAAGAAUGGAACAACUUUUGGAAAUAAAAUAGGGUAUAACAUGAGAGAUACAAAGGGCAAACGGAUAAAGGAAAACCAUCCAAGGAUACCAAUCAAAAGAGAAAAAGGGGAAACGUCUAACAGAAUAGGAAUUAUGUGCAAGCACUCAAGAGGGGUAUAGGGAAGGUAAUCUCAAGUGGCGUGAAAAGAAACCUGCACAAACAAAAACAAGGGACCAAAAGUGGUGGAGACAAUAAGAGCUAAAUGUAAAAGUUGUGAAUGAUGAAUGGUUAAGAGAUUGUUUUGUGGGAAGAUUGAAGGAACUAUUAUGGUUUCAUUGGUAGUAUGGGGAACACGAAACUAAAAUAUUUAGGUGAUGAUCUUGUGCUUAUUAUGGGACUCAAAGAAGAGGAAGUGAUAAACAAAUAAGAGGGGGGGGGGGGGGGGGGGGGAUAAAAAUGGGCUCCAAGCAUUACAACAGAAAAUUGGCUUGCAUGGAUAACAUGUUGGGGAGUUCCAUUGCGUCUAUGUAAUGGUACGAGCUUGUAACUCAUUUCCCCUUUAGUGACUUCAUCAAGUUAGAAUAGGAACCAACAAACAAGCAGAGACUCAAUUAUGUUGGGGUUCUUCUCAAAGUGUUGUCCUCACCUCUGUUGAAUUGAGUUUAAUUUGUAGAAAGAAACAGUAAAUAUAAGAGUUAUCAUAUUCAUAGAGACUAUAUGUAACAUAAAGGGAAUUAGUAAAUUUUUACACACAAUCAUUGGAAUGAGUUGUCAAAUCAUUAUAGCGAAUGUGUGGAGUUUCAAUUUUUAGAAAAGAAAUGUUUUGCUAGAGUAAGGCAUCAAUUCAUUAUGAAAAACUAGACUAUUUUGCUUUUCAAACACAACUUUUGGAGCAAAACUGAAAUAAAACAAAUUAAAGUAUUGUUGAGAUGAAAUCCAUAAAUUUUUUCAUAUGAAACUCAUUCUUAAUCAAUCUUCUAGUUCAAUGCAACCAAGAUCCAAACUACAACGACUAAUCCUAAUUCCUUAGCAAUUAUUUAAUCAGUGAAUAUUUGCAAAUGCAAUUAUUUGAUCCAUUCUUGGCAUCAAAGCCUUGCACAAUUUCUAUUCAGAUCUAGGAUUUGAACUUGUUUUCACCUAAUCCAAAUCCAUAAAAGCCAAGAUGAUCACUCCUAACAUGUAUCUAAGUAUAGAAUUGAAAUAUGAACACAUUAGCUACAAGAAUUUAUCAGAAAACAAAGAUUACAUACUUGAAUUCUAUUUCAAUAACUCAACAACUGUGAAAUUUAGUUCAUUUGUAUCAUGACGAGUCCAAGUAAAAUCUCAAAAGAGCCACAGUGGAGGAAAAGAGAGAGAGAGACAGAGAGAUAAGAGAGUUCAAGAUUGUAUUUCUCAUAAUUCACAAAUGAACCAAAUUAAAGUCUCUUCAAAUGAUGUUACAAGCUCUUUAAAUAGAGUUGAGAUUUCAUUAAAUUUUUGUGCCUUAGAGGAUUUCCUUGCAACAAAAGCAUGAUUCGUCGCAAUGAAAUUACACGUAUAAACUAAGGACUUUGCACUUGAUCUUCUUGCCUUUGGUCCUUAUUCGCUAGGGCAAUAAGGUUGACUCGCUAGGGCUAUUUCCUGUUAACUCCAAGGUCUUUAGCUUUGCAGAAUCAUUGUAGUGAAUCUUCAUUAUUUUCAACCGAUCAAGGGUUCUGUUUCGUGUGAUGAAAAUACAUCUCACUGUGGCAAGAUCAUCUUUGUAGUUCUUCAAUCUUGGAUGAUAAAAAAUUGUUCUUGUAACAUCCAAUUUUACACAAAAACACCAAAAACUAUCUUUUUAAGUUUCUACAACCAGUUUAUACAAUUUAUUAACAAAAAUCACAAUUAAGAACAAAAUUUCUAAAUAAUAGGUCUAAAUAUGCAAUUGUUCAUUAUAGGGAUGACACAAUUCAAGUGCAGAGGUCCCUUUCAUUGCGAGCAAGGUUGGUGUACAAUUCAUAUCCUCUACAUUAGAAUGCCUAUCAGAUGCCUUAGAUGGUAGAGGAGAAGAGGAUGAUGAUAGAGGUGAAGGUGUGCCUUAACAAUGGCGAACAUUGGAAGAAUCCUUUGUCAAAUGUCCGAUGGAUAAAGAUUUGGUGAUGGUUAGACAAAAGGACAGUGAGUAGAAAGCAAAUGAGGACUUUGUCAAUAUGAUGGAGACACAAAAAGGGUUGAUAAUUUGAACAAAGAAGGACUACCAAAGCAUGUGAUAGAACACCAAAAGGGAAAGUUAACAGAGGGGUUGAGAAAGGAGAGUAGGAACUUUGGAGACACAGGAGAAAGAGUGGACUCAAUGAUGAUAAUCCCUUUCAUAAAUCAAGGAUUGGAAUAAGUAAAGGAAAUGAGGGAGCCAACUUUUAGGAUAAAGAAAAUACAACAAUUGGAUUUUAAAAUUGAAGGUCAACCCAAAGCUAUAGAAGGUGAUAAAUGGAUGUGAUGUAGCUCCAUUGGAGAUUGUAGGCCUUGGAUCUUCUUCAUCAAUGGAGUCCUUUGCUUCUUGAAUUUUAAUGGCAGCAUAAUGGAGAAGAAGAAGAUUUGAGAGGAGAUGCUACUUCAAGGAUAAGAUGAGUCAAGAAGAAGCUCACCACUAUAGGAAGCCAUGGAUAAGAGCUUGAAGGUAGGGGAAGAUGAGUGGAGGGAGAAGGAGAAAAGGAGCACGAAAUGUUGUGCCUCAAAAGAGGUCUGAACUUUGAAGUGUAAUUCUCAAAUGAUCAAAGUUGAAAAAAUGAACACACAUGACCUCUAUUUAUAGCCUAAGUGUCACACAAAAUUGGAAGGAACUUUGAAUUUCUAUUCAAAUUUCACUUGAAUUUGAAAUUGAAUUUGCGGAGCCAAAAUUUCACUAAUUAUGAUUAGUGAAUUUUUAGAUAUGAUUCAGCCCACAAAUCCAAGAUUCUCUACUAAGUGUGCUUAGGUGUCAUGAGGCAUGUAAAGCAUAAAGGACAUGCACAAAGUGUGACUAUAUGAUGUGGUAAUGGGGUGUAGCAAGCAAAUGCUCACCUCUCCCUCUAAAAUUUAAUUGGAUUGGGCUUCUCCCAAUUCAAUUAAAUUUGUUUCCCAACACACACAUCAAAUAUUCACUUAAUGCAUAUGAAAUUAUAAAACUACCCCUAGUACAAAACUAGUCUAGGUGCCCUAAAAUACAAGGGCUGAAAAUUCUACAUUUCUAGGGUACUCUACCUACAUUAUGGAGCCCUAAAUACAAGGACCAAAAAUAAUGAAAUCCUAAUCUAAUAUGUACAAAGAUAAAUGGACCCAACCUUGGUCCAUGGGCUCAGAAAUCUAACCUGAGGUUCAUGAGAACCCUAGGACCUUCUUCAUCAGCUCUAGCCCAAUCUUCUUAAAGCCUCUUGCUCAUGACUUUGAUAACUGGUCCCUUCUUAGGGAGGAUUGCAUCAUCUCCUCCCCCUGAAGAGGAUUUGACCUUAAAUUUGUUGAUUCCUCCUCUUCAAUAUUAGCUCCAACUACAAAAGGAAUUAAAUCAGAAAUAUUAAAAGUGAUGCUAACUCCAUACUCUUCUGGGAGGUCCAACCUAUAGGCAUUGUUAUUGAUCCUCUUCAAGACCUAAAAAGGUCCAUCCCCUCUAGGGCUAAGCUUGGAUUUCCUUUUAGUAGGGAAUCUAUCCUUCCUAAGAUGGAGCCAAACCCAACCCCCCUCAUUAAGAACUAGCUCCUUUCUUCCUCUAUUGCCUUUACUUGAAUACACCUUUGUUUGGUUCUCUAUUUGGUUCUUAACCCUCUCAUGCAACUUCUUUACAAACUCUGACCUAGAUUUCCCUUCUUUAUGUAUAAAAAAGUGUCAAGUGAGAGGGGAAUGAGGUCUAAGGGUGUUACGAGAUUGAACACAUAGAAAACCUCAAAAGGGGAUUGCUUGGUGGUUAUAUGAAACCCCCUGUUGUAGGAAAAUUCUACAUGAGGAAGAUACUUAUCCCAAGACUUAUGGUUUCCUUUCAUAAGAGCCCUUAAAAGGGUGGAUAAAGACCUAUUCACUACCUUUGUUUGCCCAUCAGUUUAUGGAUGACAAGUGGUAGAGAAAAGAAGCUUAGUUCCUAGCUUAGCCCAUAAGGUUUUCCAGAAGUGGCUAAGGAACUUAGCAUCUCUAUCUGACACAAUGGUCUUAGGCAAACCAUGGAGUCUUACAACUUCCCUGAAAAAGAGUUUUGAGAUAUGGGAAGCAUCAUCCACCUUGUGGCAUGGUAUAAAGUGUGCCAUCUUACUAAACCUAUCCACCACCACAAAGAUAGAGUCUACACCUCUUUGGGUUCUAGGAAGCCCGAGGACAAAGUUCAUACUAAUGUCUACCCAAGGUGCAAAUGGGAUGGGUAAGAGUGUGUAUAGCCCAUGAGGCAUCACCUUAGACUUGGCUUAUAAACAAGCCACACACCUAGUGCAAUGCUUAUGGACAUCUUUCUUCAUAUGGGGCCAAUAAAACGUUUCUUUGAGUAAAAUAAGGGUUUUUUCUAUCCCAAAGUGGCCCAUGAGACCACCCUUAUGGCUCUCUUUCACAAGUAAUUUCCUGAUGGAUCCUUGGGGUAUGCAAAGCUUUCCCUCUUUGAACAAAUACCCCUCAACCAAGUAGAAUCCAUCUUGGGCCUUUUUCCCACAACUCUCAUAAAUGGGAGAAAAAUGUUCAUCUAAAGCAUACAAGUCCCUAAUGUUAUCAAAUCCUAAAAUUUGAGCUCCUAGGGAGCAAAACAAUGUGUGUCUUCUAGAGAGGGCAUCAACUACCACAUUUUGUUUUUCCCAUUUUGUAUUUGAUAACAUAUGGAAAUUUCUCUAGGUACUCUACCCAUUUUACAUGCCUUUUGUUUAACUUGCUUUGCCUUCUAAUGUACUUAAGUGAUUGAUGAUCACUAUGAAUGACAAAUUCCUUGGAAACAAGGUAAUAUUCCCAAGUUUGGAGGGCUCUUAUUAAGGCAUAAAGCUCUUUAUCAUAGGUAGGGUAGUUUAGGGUGGCACCAUGAAGUUUUUCACUAAAAUAAGCAAUAGGGUGCCCACCUUGUAACAAUACAACUCCAAUUCCCACUCUAGAGGCAUCACAUUCUAGCUCAAAAGUUUUAGAAAAGUCAGGAAGAGCUAGAAUAGGUGCCUUAGUAAACUUUUCUUUGAGAAAAGCAAAGGCUUGCUCUUGUUUUUCACCCCAAGUAAAUGCCACAUUCUUCUUCACCACCUCAUUGAGAGGUGAGACAAUUGUAGUGAAAUUAGGAAUGAACCUUCUAUAUAAGCUUGCUAACCCAUGGAAGCUCCUAAUAUCUCCCACACUUUUUGGGGUGGGCCAUUCUUGGAUGGCCUUGAUUUUCACAGGGUCCACUUAGACCCCAUUUCUACCAACUACAAACCCUAAGAAAACUAUAUUAUCUACAGAAAAGGUACACUUCUCUAUAUUUGCAUAGAGGGUGUUUUUCCUAAGGACUGAAAGAACUUGCCUGAGAUGUCCUAAGUGAUCAUCUAGGCUCCUACUGUACACUAAAAUAUCAUCAAAAUAAGCAACUACAAAUCUACCUAUGAAAUCCCUUAAGACAUGAUGCAUACGCCUCAUAAAGGUGCUUGGUGCAUUAGUGAGCCCAAAAGGCAUCACUAGCCAUUCAUACAAACCAAACUUGGUUUUGAAAACGGUUGUCCACUCAUCACCCUCUUUCACCCUGAUUUGGUGAUAACCACUUUUAAGAUCAAUUUUCGAAAAGAUGUUGGCACCAUGCAACUCAUCAAGCAAAUCAUCAAGUCUAGGAAUGGGGUGCCUAUACUUUACAGUAAUGUUGUUGAUGGCCCAGCAAUCUAUACACAUUCUUCACGUACCAUCCUUUUUGGGCACCAACAACACUGGCACAACACAAGGGCUUAGGCUCUCUUGGACCCAACCCUUUUCCCACAAUUCUUUAACAUGAGACUUUAUCUCCUUAGUCUCCUGAGGGUUUGUCCUAUAGGCUAGCUUAUUAGGAAGGCUUGCUCCAGGGACUAAAUCUAUUUGGUGUUCUAUUCCCCUUAGAGGAGGUAGCCCAGGGGGUAUCUAUUUGGGAAAUAUAUCACAAAAUUCAUGUAAGAGUUCUUGGACCUUUAAGGGUAAGGUCUCAAAUGUUGGAAUUGUGGCAGUGCUAAGGGAUGUUUCCCUUCAUAGGAGAAGGUAGAAAGAUUGUUAAAGAAGGAGUGCUUUUUUAAUAUCACCUUUUGUUGCAAAAUCAUUUUCCUUCUUAACAAUCUUCUAGGAGGAAUCCUUUUCCUCUUUUUACUUCCCUUUGGCCUUUUAAGACAAGGCCUUACUAUCCUUCUUUUUCUUUUGUUUUUUUAGUUUUUCUUCCUCAUUCCUCUUAUCUUUCAUAGUUAGUUGAUCUUUGGCCACUUGUGAAGGUGUUUGAGGAUGCAACAUAAAUUUAGUGCCAAGAUGGGUGAGGGUAAUCUCAUUAGUUAGGUCAUUGUAAAUGAUCUUCCUAUCAAAUUGUCAUGGCCUUCCUAAAAGAAUAUGUUCUGCCUCCAUGAGAACUAUAUCACCACUAACUUCAUCCUUAUAUGUCCCAAUGGAGAAAGGUACCUUCACUUGUUGGUUAACUCUGAUUUCCCCUUGCUCAUUGAGCCAUUGAAGUUUAUAAGGUUUUGGGUGGGGAAUGAUAGUGAGGUUCAACUUGGAAACUAAUCUUGUGCUACAACAAUUGCAACAAGAUUUACUAUCCACAAUGAGAGAACAAGUUUUAUCUAAAAUUUUGCAUCUUGUAUGAAAGAUGUUCUCUCUUUGGGAUUGAGAUAGAUCACAAGAUUGACCUUCAAGGAGUCUUCUAACCAUUAAGAGGUCACCUUCUUCAUGGGGGUAGACUUUCUCACUAGACUCUUCACCCCCUUACUUCAUCUUCACUUCCACUAGAGGAAGGGCAAGAAAGUAGUCUCCUCUUGACUACUAUAAAUGUCUUGAUCCCUCAUAAUCAUGGGUUUCUUUGUGGGGAAUUAAGAGGCAAUGUGACCUCUCCCAAGACAUUUGAAGCAUUUAAUGUUGCUAGUCCUUUCUUGGGAACUAGUCUUAGGGGUGUAUUUCUCUAUGGUCUUACCCUUAUCUUCCUUGGGUUUUGAAGGUGCAGCCCCCAAAAUUCCUUGGGCUUGGUCCUUCCUUGGAUAAGAGUGAAAUUCAUAUGAUUUUGAAGAAGGCUUUCUUUUAAGUUGUUACUCCACUCUUAUACAAAGUUGGACUAGCUCAUCUACGUCCCUAUAUGGAAGGAGUUCAACCUUGUCCCUCACUUCCAAAUUAAGCCCACUAAGGAACCUAGCUAUGCUUGUUCUUUCCGCCUCCCUAAGUCCAUCUCUUAAAAAGAGUAGUUCCAUUUGUUGUCUACAUUCUUCAACACUCAUACUCAUUUGUCUAAGCCUUUGGAGCUUGUCCAUAAGCUCCCUUUCAUAGUAGAAGGGAAUGUGCCUCUUCCUUAGGGCACUCUUAAGAUCAUUCUAAUACUCUACUGGAGGAUCCCCAUGAAUCCUUCAUUCCCUAACAAGGGAAGUCCACCAAUAGAGGGCAUACCCUUGAAAGCUAAGGGUAGCCAAUGGAACUUUUCUUUCUUCGCUAAUAUGAUGGCAAGCAAAGAGUUGUUCAACCUAUAUCUCCCAAUCUAAGUAGGCCUCAACAUUAUCUUUUCCAUGAAAAUAUGGGAGGAUAAUGUUAACCUCUUGAGGCCUUCUAUCCUUUUCUCUUCUUUGGGAGUGAUGUUUAGUAUUUGAACUAUGACACCCUCCAUAAUAGUUGCUAAGUUCUUCACUUAAACUCUUGCAAGGGUCAUGACUACUGUAGGAGACAUAUUUU
rnacentral:lncRNA from 1 species